AUGAGCAACUUACAAUUGACAAACAUGCUCUGGAGGGACUUGUUCACAACCUAACCGAGGUCAGACAUCUGUUUUUGGAUGGAAUCAACAUGACUUCUGUUAAUGCUCAUGUCUUCAUGAAUCUAUCCUCUUCUCUAAGAUCUCUCAGUCUUGCUGGUUGUGAUUUGCAAGGAAAAUUCCCAAAAAACAUUUUUGAUUUGCCAAACCUCAAUCUCCUCAACUUGGGAGGCAACCAAUUGAGUGGACAAAUUCCAAGAUCAUUGGGGAACCUCUUGCAACUCACUGUUUUAGACUUGUGGGGGAACAAAUUGAGUGGACAAAUUCCAUUGUCAAUUCUAAACCUAACGCAGUUGGAAUACUUGGUAAUAUCUGAAAAUUCUUUAGAAGGUUCUAUUCCAGAUGAGGUAACCGCUGUUCCGAAUCUAAUAUAUUUAGUCUUAUAUGACAAUUUACUCAAUGGAACACUUCCGUCAUGGUUGUAUACUGCUCCCUCCUUAAAGGGUAUAAUUCUCUCUCAAAAUCAAUUCAGUGGGCAUAUCAAAGAAUUCCAAACCAAAUCACUAGAAUAUUUAGAUCUAGAAAAUAAUAAACUCCAAGGUCCCCUUCCAUCUUCAAUAUUCCAACUUCUCAAUCUUACCGGGCUCCUUUUAUCCUCAAAUAAUCUUAGUGGUGUCAUAGAGUUUCGCAUGUUCUCAAACCUUCCAAAUCUCAAAUAUCUUUACCUUUCAUAUAACAACCUAUCCUUAACAUCUAAUUCUACUUCUACUGUUAAUCAUAUAUUGCCUAAUCUUACAGACGUACUUUUGUCAUCUUGCAAUCUUAGUGAAUUCCCCCAGUUUUUAAAAGGGCUUAAAAGUUUGGAAAGCUUAGACCUCUCUUGCAACAAAAUUGAAGGCAAGAUUCCACAGUGGAUGCAAGAGGUGGGGAAUGUCUCUUUGACUUACUUCAACGUAUCUCACAACUCUUUGACAGAAGUUGAGCACUUUCCAUGGAAGAAUAUUGAAAGGCUUGACUUAAGCUCCAAUUUGAUCAGUGGAAAUCUUCCGAUUCCAGCUUCGACCAUCAGUGUCUUUUUUAUCUCAAAUAAUAGUUUCAAUGGAGAGGUCUCUUCUUUAAUAUGCAAUGCCAGUUCUCUUCGAAUUCUUGAUUUGUCCCACAAUAACUUGAGUGGACCAAUUCCGCAAUGUUUUGGAAAUUUGAGUGACAGCCUUGAAAUCUUGAAUCUGAAGAAGAACAAGUUCUAUGGGACGAUUCCUCCAAAAUUUGCAAAGGGAUGCCGAUUGACUAAUUUCAACUUAAAUGGAAAUCUGUUAGAAGGGCCAUUGACUCCAUCCAUCCUUAAUUGUAGGGGUCUGGAAGUGCUAGAUCUUGGUAACAACAAGAUCAAUGAUACAUUUCCUCAUUGGUUGGGAAGUCUUCCACAGCUACAAGUUCUUGUAUUGAAGUCAAAUCAUAUGCAUGGUUCCUUAUGUGUCAAUAGCUCUAAGUCUAGCCCUUUUUUCUCUAAAAUCCAAAUUUUUGACCUCUCAAGUAACUAUUUUUCUGGACCCCUACCAGUGAGAUACAUCAACAGCUUCAAGGCUAUCAUAAAUGUAGAGAAGAUUGGUAGUACAGUGUCGUACAUGGGGGUGAAUGAUGAUGGAGGUGACUUCUAUACCUAUUCCAUUGGAAUUGUCAUGAAAGGGAGAGAUAUGGAAUUGGUGAAAAUUUUCACCAUGUGGAUGAUCAUUGAUCUAUCAAACAAUCAGUUUGAAGGGGGUAUUCCAGAGGUUUUUGGGAAGCUUAACUUACUGAAAGGGCUCAACCUUUCUCAUAAUAACCUUAAUGGUGGUAUCCCCACCUUAAUAGGGAAUUUGACAAGUCUUGAAUGGUUGGACCUAUCUUCAAACAGGUUGUCUGGGACGAUUCCAAAUAGAUUGGCAGAUCUGCCAUUUCUUUCGUCCUUCAAUGUUUCUGAAAAUCAACUCCAUGGUCAGAUUCCUCAAGGCAAACAGUUCAACACAUUUGGAAAUGAUUCAUAUGAAGGAAACAAGGCAUUAUGUGGAUUUCCGGUCUCAAAAGGUUGCAACAUCAUUGAGCCAGCACCUCCAAAUGUGCUUGAAAAAGAUGGCUCAAAAUCAAACAUUACUUUUGGUUGGAAAGUGGUGUUGAUAGGUUAUGGAUGCGGAGUGGUGUUCGGAAUGUCCGUGGGAUAUGUUGUUUUCCAAACUGGUAAGCCGAAAUGGUUGGUGAAUUUGGUUGAAAUCCAACAUGAGAAGAAGCGAAGAAGAAAGUCAAAGGAUGGCAGUCGCAGCAAUGGACGAAGAAGAAUCUAGUUAGUGGAAAUGAUGUUCAAGUGUUGAUGUUGUAUCUUCAUAAUUUCUUGUUUUGAAGUCUGUCAAAUUUUUUUCCUAUCGUGAAAGGCUGCAUUGCCAUGCAUCUGUCUUUUUUAUUGUAACCAUUCAUCUAUAUUUCAUUGCAUUACGUAGUAUUUGUAAGGGUUUGUUUUAAAUGUAACAUUUUGUAUGGUUCAACUAUUUAUGUCUCUUUCAUGAGUUUCAUUUUUGAGUCUCAAUAAUCUCUGCAUUCAAGAUUUUGUCAGCUUAUUAAUUGGUGGAUCAAUAAUCUUCAUGCUCAUCUCAUCAUCUUUUUCUCGAGUUAAACACAGUCACUACUAUAAUAAUUUCUUCUGUGUGGAAAAUAAUUUGGCAUUCUGCAAAUUUCCACAAUGCUUGUGGAUUACCUCUGGUUGACGGCUAUACAUAUAAAGGAAGGAAACAAGACUAUGUCAAAAUUUCCAAAAAUCAGUCAUUCAUUUUUGAACAAUUAAACAUUCCUAUUCUAUUUUUCAAAAUUGUAAAUCCUCAAAUAAUGUAAAUUAGUCCUAAAACUCAAGUUUUGAAAUCUUUACAAUUUAACCCCUUAUAGUUUCAAACUUUACUAUUUUAUGCUCAACUUUCUAAAUCUUCAUAUUUCAUGAUCAUAUAAUUUAGUUAUUACAUCAAUAUUUCAGAUUUCACUACUCAAACCCUUACUUCAUUUUGGUCCUUACUUCAAUUUUUUCAAAUUAAAUCAAUUUUCAAUUUGACUGCAUUGAUGUGAAAUUGAGGGAGCACUAAACAAUGUUGAUGCGAGUUUAGGUAAAAUUGGUGGAUCCCAUCUCCUUAGUAAUUUCUUUAUGGAAGUAGCUGCUUUCACACUGCAAACUUGAAUAGUUUGUGGUGGACGAUGAUGAAUCAUUUGACAAUCAAACACAUAAUUUUUAAACACAAAAUUAACGAUAUUUUGAAAUCAUUAUUGAAAUUAUAAUCAAAAUUAAUACAUGUUCUUUUUAUUAGCUUAAGGUCGUAAAAACCCUUCAAAAUUUUCAAAAAAAAAAAAAAUUUAAGUCCCUCUUUUUUUUUUUCUAAUUUUUAAUAAAAGUAGGGGCUUAAUUGCUUUUUUUUUUUUAAGUUUGAGGGUCUUUUUGAUGCAUUUUGAAAGUUCAAGUACCCAAUUGAGUGCAAGAAGAAAGUAGGGGCUUAAUUGCUUUUUUUUAUGUAUUUUGAACGUUCAUGUACCCAAAUGAGUGCAUAAAAAAAACAGGGGUUUAGUUGCUAUUUUUGAAAAGGGUUUGAGGGCUUUUUGCACCCUUAAACCUCUUUUCUUUUUCUAAAUUUAAUUUAGAACCAACUUUGAGUAAAGACUUGGGAAAUUUAAUUAGCAAAAUUUCUUUCCAUGUAAAUAUUUCCCCUAUUUCUUGUUGGAAUUUAAAGCAAUACAAUAUUUUUGUAGCUAGUAACAGAAAACGACAGUCAAUUAAUUCCAAGCAAUACAAAAUAUCCAGUCUGGUGGAAAAUUUGUUUGUUAGAUUCUAUUAUUCAACUUUUAAGGCAUAAGUCUGAAUAUAGGGACUAAAUUUUUAAAGUGUUGUUUAUUUUAAAAUCUAUUAAUAUAUACACACUUAGGGACCAUAUAUAUAUAUAUCAUAUAUAUAUAUAUAUAUUCCAUUCUGGAUCUUUGUCGUGUUUUGUUGGUUGGCUCUGGCCUUGUUGUUGUUUCCACUGCCUGUGGUCUCUGUUUCUAAGUCAUAUGUGGCCUUGUUUGCUAGACCUUAGUUGCUCUUCACAUGUCUUGUAUUUUGUCAAGUUAAUUGAAAUGGAAAAUAAAAGUGUUGGCAUUACAGAUUAGAGUAAAAGGAAUUAGUGUUGAAGUUGGGGUUGUUCAAUUGUUGGAAUUCAUGUGUGUAUUUUUUUGAGUAUCUGGGUCUUUGUCGUGUUUUCUUGGUUGGCUAUGGCGGCCUUCUUGUUGUUCCCACUGUCUGUGGUAUUUGUUUCUAAGUCAUAUGUGGCCUUGUAUGCUAGACCUUAGUUGCUAAGUUAAAGGGAGUGAAUAGAGCACCAUAUUUCUUCUUCUGCGUGGAAAAUAAGUUGGCAUUAUGCCAAUUUCCACAUUCAUACAUAUAAAGGAAGCAAGAGCAAGUCAAUAUACUUUGUAAUCUCAUCAAUUCUUCUUCUUUCUUUAGGGAGUUCAAAUGAAAUACAAAUUUUUGGUAAAUCAACUCUUCAUUUUUAUGAAUAAAAAUUAUAUGGUAGAAAGGAAGUGGUGUUAAUAAUAAUAAUAAUAAUAAAAAGAUUAACAAUAGAACACUAAUAAAGCAAUUUAGUCUAUGAUCUGCACAAUAUAUUACUACAAAUGUACCGUACAGAAUAUUGAAAGAAAACUAAUAAAGAAGUUCGAAAUUUAAACAAUGUUCCGCAAAUUAUGUUUAUGAUCUGCUGUAAAUUGAUAUGUUAAAUCAACUCUUCAUUUUUAUGAAUAAAAAUUAUAUGGUAAAAAGGAAGUGGUGUUAAUAAUAAUAAUAAAGAUCAACAAUAGAAAACUAAUAAAGCAAUUUAGUCUAUGAUCUGCAUAAUAUAUUACUACAAAUGUACCGUACAGAAUAUUGAAAGAAAACUAAUAAAGAAAUCCGAAAUUUUAACAAGGUUCCGCAAAUUAUGUUUAUGAUAUGAUGUAAAUUGAUAUGUCAAAUUUUGUGGCAAGUAAUAGAAAAUGACAAAUUCCACAUUCAUACAUAUAAAGGAAGCAAGAUCAAGUCAAUAUACUUUGUAAUCUCAUCACUUCUUCUUCUUUCUUUAGGGAGUUCAAAUGAAAUACAAAAUUUUGGUAAAUCAACUCUUCAUUUUUAUGAAUAAAAAUUAUAUGGUAAAAGGAAGUCUUGUUAAUAAUAAUAAUAAGAUUAACAAUAGAAAACUAAUAAAACAAUUUAUCCAAAUAUCAAAAUAAAUAUUAACUUUUUCAGAAACCAAAAUUAUUUUCUAAAAAUUAUUUUUUAAAAACUAUUUUUAGUGAAACAAACUGAGUCUUAGCCCAUAUUGUAAAUUAUUUUGUGGGUCUGGAAUUCUUGUACAUUAUGCUGCAAAAGAGUGAAAUUUCCUUACAGCUAGUCGAUCAAGUUUGGUUGAAAUUGAAUGCAUUGAUGUGAAAUUGAGGGAGCCUAAACAAUGUUGAUGCGAGUUUAGGUAAAAUUAGUGGAUCCCAUCUCCUUAGUAAUUUCUUUAAGGAAGUAUCUGCUUUCACACUGUGUUGACAACUUCCCACAGAUCAAAGGCCUGCAGGUAAGUCUUCAUAUUUACCAGCCAUAUGUGAAAACCUUCUCCAUUGAAGACUGGUGGGACUGCUGGUGAAAAUCCUGAAGAAGCCAUCAGGUUUCUUGAUUUGAAGCAACAGGUCCACUAAGAAAAGGGCUCUAGAUACCAAUUGUUGGUGUAAAAGGGCAGAAGCAAACUGAUUUAAGCUUGCUUAUACAGCAAGCCUCGAGCCUUGUAGAAGAAACAAUCUCAGCAGAAAGCAAAAAUGAAGCUUGCAGUUGGAAAAACAAGAAAACAAGGAGAGAAUUUGAAUGAAAAACAAGCUGAGUUGUUCAUUAACAUUACAACAAGGCAUAUUGCCAUUACAUAUAUCAGUUAACUUGUCAAAUAAACAAGUAAUCACCUAAUCAAUUACCUAACACCACUAAUAUGCAUUGAAACUUACAAAAUUAGCUUGCAAACAUUACAUUGCUGAUAUUUCAGUCAAUCAACAUCAAAAUUACACCAAAACAUUCACCUGCUUAGUUCAAUGUGAACUAGAUUACAAAAUGAUUAAAAUACAACUAAAACAACAAGUGGUUCAGUAACUUGAAGCUUCAGCUGCUGCACACCAUGGCUCGAUUGCCUGCUGCCAUUUCUUCUUGCAUGGCCACCUUUGCAUGGGAACUAAACUCAACAUACACGAACUAAUGCAAAUAUGCUAGUGGUUUAUUUUCCACCUAUCUGAUUUUUUAAAAUGUUCUUCAGUUACACCAGUUGAUGCAAUCUAUUAUUACCUGCCUCGUUGCAAAAAGGUUAGGAAAUAAAUUCACCGACAAUCAUUGGGAACUAAGAAACUUCGCAGCAAAGCUAGUGGCAUCAAUAUGCAAAAGGUGAAGAUUCUUUUCUUUUGGACUUAUACAUGCAUAUUCGUUUUUAUGAAUUUCAGGUGUCUGAGUUUUUAGUUAUAAACUUGGAUCUAUUCUUCAAAUCAUGUGUAUAUCAUUUUUAUGCUAUUUCACACUUGCAAAACAAAUGGUGCGAGCGUGCAUGUUAUAUGCAGAAUACAUAGAUUAAUUACAUGUGGAUCAUUAAGCAUGCCUAUGUUUGACGAUUGUGUGUGGCUACCUUUUUUUACAUGAUCCAAUUUUCGAUAUGCUUUGCUUUUAGGUUGAAUGCGGAAAAGAUUAGAACUUAAUUUCCAGCAUAAUGAUUUGUCUUGGAUAUGCAGAUUUUACAUGCAUUUCUUACAAGUCAAUAUUUUAUAGAUUUGGGCAUGUUUAUCACAAUCUUCAGCCACGUGUGACAAGGACACUGCUCCACGCUUUUUUGGACCCAACGAAAACAUUUCCCCAGUAUUACGGAGCAAUUCAAGGGUUAGCAGCCCUUGGACCCAGUGUGGUAUAAUUCUAAUCUCAAAUAUUUACUAGCAACACAAUAAGAUACUUGUUUGUGGGAUCAAUUGGUCAAAGAUAUUGCAAUGAUAGCCAUCUUUUUAAGCCCAUUUCUUUCAGAAAACUGUUUUGUCACUCUUUUCUGCAAGAUCCGAAGAAAGAAAGAACAUGGAAAUCUUUAGUCCAAAAGUGUAAAUAUGCGGUUUCUCUAUAGCUAUCUUGAUUAUGGCAUCUGUAAAGUUUGUCUUUCAUAUGUUUGGCUAACGCUUCUUCAUCCAUAUGUAGGUUCGUUUACUUAUACUACCAAACCUUGAAGCGUAUUUGCAGCUUCAUGAACCUGAAAUAAAAAGACACGAGGCCUGGUGUUUUUAUGGGGCCCUGCUGGUAAGUUUAACAUCAAAUUUGGUACCAGUUUACGAGCAUCAUUUCAUUUAUUUGCUAUAGAACUAACAACACUGCAUAAAAUUUCCACUAAAAGCGUGCAGCUGGACUGUGCAUGUAUGAUCGGCUUAAAAUGUUCCCCAGUUUGCUAGCACCCCCAACUCGGCCCGUCUGGAAAAGCAACAACAAAGUUGCGACAAGUAUGAUUUCUUCGAACCAUCAUAUUUACACUUAAUCCACAGGUCUCUUCUCCCCCUUUACGAUUUUCCUUUUUCUGAUCAAUCAAGAUAAACGAAAAGCAAGCACGGACGCCUUGAUGCAGCAGCAACCACCUGCGAAGAAAAUAGCAACUGAGAGUGCAAUAGGUAUGAUGCCAAUAAAUUCCAUGCAAACUGAUUUACAAGGGGCAGUUAGCAGCUUUUCUACCACCGUAGGAGGUUCCAAUAUCGGUGUAUCAUCAAUGUCACGGCCGUUAUCAAACGAUAACAUGCUAGGAAGGGAGGUUGGGGGUCGAGUUUCAAGGACAUCAACCGUUCUAGCUCAGGCUUGGAAGGAAGACACAGACCCAGGGAACUUGUUAGCAUCAUUAUUUGAACUUUUUGGUGAAAGUAUGUAAUUAAAAUAAUAUAUUGGCUUAACCCUCCUAAAUUAUGUAUUUUUUUCCAUCUUGGGACCUAAAUUUUUUUGGGGUCAUAAGUGGUACCUAAACUACAUUUUUUCUCCUUCAAAUUAGUAUCUUCAUUAAUUAAACCGUUAAGUCUAUUUAAAAAAGAAAGACUCGAACAACAAAUUAAUACCUAAACAGUGCUCUUUUUCUCAAGGUACCUAAUUUUUAUUUUGGCCAUAAGUACUACUAAAACUAUUCUUCCGUUACUCAUUUUACACCAAAAUGUUAUAUCGGCUGAAAAGAUUCCAACAAAUAAUAGAUUGUAUGUUAUAUAAACUUUUAAAAAUAAUUAUUAUUUAAUUAAUUUUUUAUAUUUUUCUUUCUUAUUCCUUUCUAAUGUUUGGCAAUGCUGAUAAUGUUUGAAAUUGUCCCACUUGAGGUCAAAAUACUGGUGAUUAAUUUUGGUUUUGAAUUUCACCACCUACUUCUUUGACCUAAGGGGAUAGAAAAUGUUCUUUUAUCGAUCAAAACUAGUAUUUUCAAAAACAGAUUGAUUCAACUGGUUGGAUAGGAAAUCGGUCUGGAAAUAAGGGUUGAAUCGAUUGACUUGCGACCAAAAACAAAUCAGUUGAACUAAGUUAAAAAAACUGGUUGAACUAGUUCUCUCCAUUUAUAUAUAUAUAAAUAAUAAUAGUCUUUUUUUGUACUAUAUGUCAAUUUUUAAUUGGUUAAUUUUUUUUUUCAUAUAAACUGAACGGUUUGACUAAUGACGGAGGUACCAAAUUAUAGUCUAGGUACCAAUUCAUGGGUUAAGCCUAUUUCUACAAUAGACUUUUGACUAAUGGCGGUAGUAACUUGGGAAAAAAAAAGUAGUUUAUGUACCACUUGUGACAAAAAAUAAGUUUAGGUACUAUCAUGGGAAAAUGAGUAUAAUUUAGAUACUAAUUUAUGAGUUAAGCCUAAUAUAUUUGCCACAUCAUUUUUUGAAAAUAACAGAACUUAAUAAAUUUAACGGUUAUUAUUUGAUGAUGACUAAAAUUUUUAAAUUUGAAAAGUACAUGAACUAAAAAUGACCAAAUUAAAGUAUAAAGAUUAAGUCCACAACUUUUGCAAAGUACAAGGACUAAUAGCAGAAAUUAACCUAAAUUUCAUAUGGGUCAAUUACAAUAAUAAUCACUAAACUAUUCCUUUGGUUCUAUUCUAGUCACUCAACUAUAGAGCUGCUCAUGAGCCGGGCCAGGUUAGGCCUAAGCAUGAUAUUAACGUACUUUAUGCUUGCUCAAGCUUGGCUCGGCCCGAAAUAUGAGCUUAAAAUUUCGCCUAAACUCAUCAAUAUUUGCAAAAGACUAACCCAAGCUCAUUUUAGGCAUGCCCAUAUAAUUUUUAGUUUUUUUUUUUUAAAUAUUUAUAUUAUAUUAUUUUAAGAAUUAAUAAUUUGAACUAUAGUAUUAUUAUAUAUUUAGUAUAAGUUUAUUUUUUAAUCUGUUCUAAAUUAUAUAAUAUAAAAUAUUAUACACUUAAAAACGGGCCGGGCUGGGCUCGAGCUUUAAAUGUUCAAGUCUUAACCCGGCCCAUAUUUUAAACGGGCUUAAUUUUUUUACCAAAACCCAAUUUUCGGGCCUAAUUUUUUUACUCAGACCCUCCCAAAUUUUGGGCUGCCCUUGGGCUUUGGCAAGUAGCCCAACUCAUGAACAAGUUUACUCAACUAUUAAUUUUUUCGAUUUAGUUGUUAACCUUUUCGAAAGUAAAUAUUUUAGUCAUUCUCCUAUUAGUUGUUGUUAAACGAGUGACGGAAAGCUGAUGUGGGCUUUUUUUAUUAGUCUAAUAACAAAUUUAGCCCUCCAAUGUUUACACAUUCUAUCAAUUUGAUCCUAGAUAUAAAAAAAUCAACAAAUUUAGCCCUGAAUGUUAACAAAACUUGUCAUUUUAGUUCAAAUUCUAAAAAAUUUAAUAAAUUUAACCCUUAAUAUUUUCAAAAAUUAGCAAUUUAGUUCUAAUUCUAAAAAUUUUAAUAUAUAUAUUUAAAAAAAUAUUUUUAAUCAUCUGUCUCACCCUUUGAUUUUUUAGAUGAGCUAAAAUCAAAAUGAGAUAAAAAAAAAUAAAAAGUUAAAAUGACUUUUCGUUUGUAAAGUUAAAAAAUGCUAAAUAAAUCAUUAUGUCUUUUUAGUUUUAAUUUUUUACUUGAUUAAAAGAGAAAUAAUUAACAAAUGAAAAAUAAUUAUUUCUAUAUAAAUUUAUCAAAAUUUAUAACAAAUGAUAUUUUAGAUUUGAAUUAUCAGACUAUAUAUAUAUAAGUAUACACAUUUUUAUGAAAUAAAAGAUUUUGCUAAAAGAAAAAGCAUCCAAUUUUAAGAAUGAAAAAUAUAUGGUAAAAGCAUCCAUAACUUUUCAAUGUUAAAGACAAAAAAGACUGUAACACCAAUGUUGUGGUAUUAUUUGUUGCCUAUAAAUACCAUUCCUAUCCUUCUUCUUCCUCUACCAACAUAACAUGGCCUCCUAUCUCUUUCUCUCCCUAUUCCUCUUCUUUCUCCAUCUUUAUGCUUCUUUUUCUUCUUCAGGAUCUCACUCCUGCUCUUCACUAAUCCAGUUUAAGGACUCCUUUUCCAUAAGAGAGGAUGCUUCUUUUGAUCAUUGCGAUUAUUUUGCUGGCCUUAAAUCUUAUCCCAAGACAAAUUCAUGGAAGGAGGGUACAGAUUGCUGCUCAUGGGAUGGGGUCACUUGUGACCACCUAAAUGCUCAUGUUAUUGCCCUUGACUUGAGCUGCAGUUGGCUAUAUGGCACCUUCCCUUCCAAUACCACUCUCUUCCUUCUUCCUCACCUUCAAAAACUCAACCUUGCCUACAAUGAUUUUAAUUCUUCCAAAAUUCCAUCCGAGUUCGGUCGGUUUACAAGCCUAUUCUACCUCAACCUUUCCAAUACAUGGUUUUCAGAAGUCCCAUCCCAAGUCUCCCACCUGUCAAAAUUGGUUUCACUUGAUCUUUCUGGGUUUGAUGAACUAUUAACAAUUGACAAAUAUGCUCUGGAGGGUCUUGUUCACAACCUAACCGAGGUCAGACGUCUGUUUUUGGAUGAAAUGGACAUGUCUUCAGUUAAUGCUCAUGUCUUCAUGAAUCUAUCCUCUUCUCUAAGGUCUCUCAGUCUUGUUGGUUGUGAUUUGCAAGGAAAAUUCCCAAAAAACAUUUUUGAUUUGCCAAACCUCAAUCUCCUCAACUUGGGAGGCAACCAAAACCUCAAUCUUGAUCCUUUGAAGUUCAAUCGGAGCAGCAAUCUUGAACAAUUGAUAAUUUCAGACGCAAAUAUUUGUGGAGGAUUGCCUGACUCGAUGGGGAAUCUUGUGUCCUUGAAGUUUUUAGUUCUCUCCCAUUCCAACUUAUCAGGACUGGUUCCAAGAUCACUGGGGAAUCUCUUGAAACUCACUCAUUUAGACUUGUCGGAGAACCAAUUGAGUGGACAAAUUCCAAGAAAAUUGGGGAACCUCUUGCAACUCACUCAUUUAGACUUGUCGAAGAACCAAUUGAGUGGACAAAUUCCAAGAUCAUUAGGGAACCUCUUGCAACUCACUCAUUUAGACUUGUGGCUGAACCAAUUGAGUGGACAGAUUCCAAGAUCAUUGGGGAACCUCUUGCAACUCACUGUUUUAGACUUGGGAUGGAACAAAUUGAGUGGACAAAUUCCAUUGUCAAUUCUAAACCUAACGCAGCUGGAAUACUUGACAAUAUCUAACAAUUCUUUAGAAGGUUCCAUUCCAGAUGAGGUAACCGCUUUUCAUAAUCUAAUAUAUUUAGACUUAUCUGACAAUUUACUCAAUGGAACACUGCCGUCAUGGUUGUAUACUGCUCCCUCCUUAAAGACAAUAUAUCUCUCUCAAAAUCAAUUCAGUGGGCAUAUCAAAGAAUUCCAAUCCAAAUCACUAGAAUGGAUAUGGUUAGAGAAUAAUAAACUCCAAGGUCCUCUUCCAUCUUCAAUAUUCCAACUUCUCAAUCUUACCCAACUUAGCUUAUCCUCAAAUUAUCUUAGUGGUGUCAUAGAGUUUCGCAUGUUCUCAAACCUUCCAAAUCUCGAAUAUCUUGACCUUUCAUAUAACAGCCUAUCCUUAACAUCUAAUACAACUUCUACUGUUAAUCUUACAAGCUUAUUUUUGUCAUCUUGCAAUCUUAGUGAAUUCCCCCAAUUUUUAAAAGGGCUUAAAAGUUUGGAAAGCUUAGACCUCUCUUGCAACAAAAUUGAAGGCAAGAUUCCACAGUGGAUGCGAGAGGUGGGGAAUGGCUCUUUGACUCACUUAAAUGUAUCUCACAACACUUUGACAGAAGUUGAGCACUUUCCAUGGAAGAAUAUUGAUGUUCUUGACUUAAGCUCCAAUUUGAUCAGUGGAAAUCUUCCGAUUCCAGCUUCGACCAUAAGAGUCUUUUUGAUCUCAAAUAAUAGUUUCAAUGGAGAGGUCUCUUCUUUAAUAUGCAAUGCCGCUUUUCUUGAAAUUCUUGAUUUGUCCCACAAUAACUUGAGUGGAACAAUUCCACAAUGUUUUGGAAAUUUGAGCAACAGCCUUCUAUUCUUGAAUCUGAAGAAGAACAAGUUUUAUGGGACGAUUCCUCCAGCAUUUGCAAAGGGAUGCCGAUUGAGUAAUUUCAACUUAAAUGGAAAUCUGUUAGAAGGGCCUUUGACACCAUCCAUGAUCCAUCCUUAAUUGUAAUGGUCUGGAAGUGCUAGAUCUUGGUAACAACAAGAUCAAUGAUACAUUUCCUCAUUGGUUGGGAAGUCUUCCACAGCUACAAGUUCUUGUAUUGAAGUCAAAUCAACUGCAUGGUUCCUUAUGUGUCAAUAGCUCCAAGUCUAUCCCUUUUUUCUCUAAAAUCCAAAUUUUUGAUCUCUCAAGUAAUUAUUUUUCUGGACCCCUACCAGUGAGAUACAUCAACAGCUUCAAGGCUAUCAUAAAUCUAGAGAAGAUUGGGAGUACAAUGUCGUACAUGGGGGUGUAUGCUCAGAGAGGUAGUGCCUUCUAUACCCAUUCCAUUGGAAUUGUUAUGAAAGGACAAGAUAGGGAAUUGGUGAAAAUUUUCACCAUGUGGAUGAUCAUUGAUCUAUCAAACAAUCAGUUUCAAGGGGGUAUUCCAAAGGUUAUUGUGAAGCUUAACUUGCUGAAAGGGCUCAACCUUUCUCAUAAUAACCUUAAUGGUGGUAUCCCCACCUCAAUAGGGAAUUUGACAAGUCUUGAAUGGUUAGACCUAUCUUCAAACAGUUUGUCUGGGACGAUUCCAAAUAGAUUGGCAGAUCUGCCAUUUCUUUCGUCCUUCAAUGUUUCUGAAAAUCAACUCCAUUGUCAGAUUCCUCAAGGCAAACAGUUCAACACAUUUGGAAAUGAUUCAUAUGAAGGAAACAAGGGAUUAUGUGGAUUUCCGGUCUCAAAAGGUUGCAACAUCAUUGAGCCAGCACCUCUAAAUGUGCUUGAAAAAGAUGGCUCAAAAUCAAACAUUACUUUUGGUUGGAAAGUGGUGUUGAUAGGUUAUGGAUGCGGAGUGGUGUUCGGAAUGUCCGUGGGAUAUGUUGUUUUCCAAACUGGUAAGCCGAAAUGGUUGGUGAAUUUGGUUGAAAUCCAACAUGAGAAGAAGCGAAGAAGAAAGUCAAAGGAUGGCAGUCGCAGCAAUGGAUGAAGAAGGAUCUAGUUAGUGGAAAUGAUGUUCAAGUGUUGAUGUUGUAUCUUCAUAAUUUCUUGUUUUGAAGUCUUUCAAUUUUUUUCCUAUGGUGAAAGGUUGCAUUGCCAUGCAUCUGUCUUUACUUUUGUAACAAUUCAUCUGUCAUAAUAUUAUAGAUUUUAUUGAUUUUAAUUUUUUCUCUAAUUUUUAAUAAAAAUAGGGGCAUAAUUGCUUUUUUUUUUUAAGUUUGAGAGUAUUUUUUAUGCAUUUUGAAAGUUCAAGUACCAAAUUGAGUGCAAAAAAAAAAAGAGUAGGGGCUUAAUUACUUUUUUUGAAAAUGUUUGAGAGCUUUUUUGAUGUAUCAAAUGAAAUACAAAUUUUGAGUAAAUCAACUAUUCAUUUUUAUGAAUAAAAAUUAUAUGGUAAAAAGGAAGUAGUGUUAAUAAUAAUAAAAAAGAUCAACAAUAGAAAACUAAUAAAGCAAUUUAGCCUAUGAUCUGCGCAAUAUAUUACUACAAAUGUACUGUACAAAAUAUUGAAGAAAACUAAUAAAGAAAUCUGAAAUUUUAACAAGUUCCGCAAAUAAUGUUUAUGAUUUGCUGUAAAUUGAUAUGUCAAAUUAGGCUCUCCAUCACACUUAAAAGUUUAUUUUCGAGCAAUUUAGAUAUCUUUGUUGCGUUUUUAUUUUGUUUUAGUUGUUUAUAUUAAUAAAUGAUUAGUGUGCAUUUUGAUGCUAUUUUAAGACCUGAGAUGGCCAAAUGGCACCCGGGGAAUCUAAUGAGGUUGGUGAGUGAUGCAGAGAGCCCAUGGUGGCCCGGAAGGAACGAAAAUGUUACCUAGAAAGAGGGUAUCGCAUUUCAAAGCAUGAAAGUCGUAAUACCCAUAACAAUGUUAAAAACAAGGAAGAUUGAGCCAUCAACAAUGUUAUCGUGAUACCGGUCAUAAGAUAUCGCGAUACCCAAAACUUCCAAGGAUCCCCCAAGACUGUUGUGGAUAUCGCGAUACCAAACUUUGGGUAUCGCAAUAUCAUUGAUGAGAGGAGACAAAAUAUAACUGUAGGGGUAAUCCUUUUCCAACAUGUGGAAUGGCCAUGGGAUGUGUUGUUUUCCAAACCGGUAAGGCGAAAAGGUUCGUGAAUUUGGCUGAAGACCAACAUGAGAAGAGGCGAAGAAGAAAGCCAAAAUAUAGCAAUCGCAUCAAUGGAUGAAGAAGGAUCUAGUUGGUUCAAAUGAAGUUAAAGCAUUUGUGCUGUGUCUUCAUAAUUUCUUGUUUAGUAGUCUGUCAGAAAGUUUUUCCUAUGGUGAAAAGUUGCAUUGCUAUGUGUCUGUUUUUAUGAUUGUACCAAUUCCUCUGUAUUUCAUUGCAUUUCGUACUAUUUGUAAGGGUUUAGUUCAGUGUAACAUCUUGUAUGGUGCAACUAUGUAUGUCUUCUUUCUUGAAUUUCAACUUUUAGUAAACAUUAUACUGCUCACCAUAAAAAAAAUACAUGUAGAAUUACAAAAGAUUCAAUUAUUCAAGUUUGAGUUGCAUUUAUAAACAUGUGAUGAUGAGAAUUCAUGAACAAAAGGUAUGGUUUGAGCCCUUUUGCAAUAUGCGUUUAUGUUGCAUUUACCUAUAUAUCUAUCGACAAAUUUAAGAGUAAUAUUUACAAUAGCAUUGCAGAGUAACAUAUUUACGAUUGGAUUACACAGUCAAAAGAUUGCAGCAACGAUGAGAUUAAUCCAAUUACAGGAAUUGAUAUCCUAAAUGGCUUUUAGGUACGUAGCUUCAUUGACGGUACAAACUAGUUAAAAUUUCCAGAAUUCAUGUCUUUGUUUUCCCUCAAGUAAACGUAGUCAAUACUGCAAAUGGUGUGGAAGUAUUGUACAUUGUGGCCCAAAUGUCCAAAAUUUCCACAUUGCUUGUAAAUUAAGUGAUGAAAACCAAAACUGUUUGAGGCAUCCAAUUACCCACAGAGAUAGGAAGUAAGGACGCAUGUAUAAUUAUUAUCAUUAAUUAAAGCAUAUAUAAUUACAUUAAAUAUAGGAUAAACUAUAAAAAUAAUCACUUUUAUUUACCUCAUAUUACAUUUUAGUCACUUAUGUUUGAAAUGUUACAUUUUGGUCACUUACGUUAUCGUUUUGGUACGAAGUGGUCACUCUACCGUUAAGCUCCGUUACCUCCCUAACGGCGAUUCUACGUGAUAGUCCAAAUGAGUUUUAAAUGCCAACUUAAAUGUCUUGCGUGGCUGUCUAAAUUAAAUUUAUUUAAUUAAAAACUUAUUUUCAUCUCAACAACCGGACAUUCAAGUUCGCAUUUAAAACCCAUUUAGACUGCCACGUAGGACUGCCGAUAGGGAGGUAACAGAGUUUGAUAGUAGAGUAACCACUUCAUAACAAAACGAUAAUGUAAGUGGCUAAAACAUAACAUUUCAAACAUAAGUAAUUAAAAUAUAAUAUAAGGUAAACAAGCCUUAAAUAUAUAAAUUACUAUGAUUACUAUCAAGAUAGCAUUGACCUGUUCAACAGGCGGAACCAAUAGAUCUGACCAUUUGGUGACUCUAGCAGUCGAUAAGUGUGAGUGGCAGACUGUGCAACUUGUAACUAUGUUAAUUGAUGAAAAGCUUUUUGAUAGAAGAUAAUAAACUAGUGGCAAUGGCAAACGGUUCCAAGACGAGGUGGGACACCGAGGCUUUGUGUAACAGGGGAAUAGAUGCACUCAAUGCUGGCGGCUGUUGACUUGUAUUUCUCUCUAACAAUUUAAAUCACCAGCUUGCUUCAUCCAUCUAUAAAUAAGGGUCUUCUUCAGUUUCAUAAAUGCAUAGAAAAUUAACAAGCUCAAAUUCCUUCUUUUCAUAUUCAUCUCUUUUACUUUGAAUUGCAACUUUAUCCUGCCUAAAUUCCUCAACCAUGAACCACCCAUCAGGACAGCCUCAAAAUGAACUUCCUUGGUCCGCCGGAUUCUGCGAUUGUUGCUCUGACCUGAAAACUUGUAACCCUUUCUUCUUUCUUCAAUAUCAGUUCUGUCUUUUUAAUUAUAUGAAUUAGUUUAUCAAUUAAAUAUAUGGACAUUUCAGGUUGCAUUUCAUACUGGUGCCCAUCCAUCACCUUUGGCCAGAUUGCUGAGAUUGUUGAUAAAGGGUCGACUUGUAAGUUAUUAAUUUCUAAAUUGAAAUCUUAUCAUCUUAGGUUUUGCAGACAUAUAUAUAUUUAAAGAGAUAUUAUGUAAUUAAUAAUAAUGUUGAAAAACACUGUUGGAUGGUGCAGCAUGUCGGGCAAGUAGGGCACUAUACACAUUAAUAAUGUUCAUCACCGGGUGUGGGUGCUUAUAUUCUGGCUGCUACCGAUGCAAACUGAGAAAGCAGUAUAACUUGAAAGGAGGCGAUUGUGGCGAUUGCAUGCGUCAUUUCUGCUGCGAGCCUUGUGCCUUGACACAAGAGUAUCGUGAGCUCCAGAACCGUGGAUUCGACAUGUCUAUCGGUAUGUCUACAUACCAAUAUUAUACCCCUUUUAAUUAUUCUUAAUAUAACUUCAAGUAUAUUAAUUGAGUAGCUGUAAACAAAUAUCUCCGAAUAAAUAUGUUGGUAAUGAUGAGAUAAAUUAUUGUUUGAGGUCAUUAAUUUUGUGGGGGUAUAUUUAUAUAUGCAGGUUGGCAUGCAAAUGUGGAGAAGAACCCAGGGCUGGCAAUGGCUCCAGCGGUAGAAAAAGGCAUGAGCAAAUAGAUGAUGAUGAUGAUGAGACCACUGCAUUAAUAUCAUCUUUACAUGUAACACUUAAUUCCUUGGCUUUCCAUAAUUGGUUGAUUGUACGGCUUGCCAAUUGAAUUUCAAGUUAUGUAUGUUUGUGAUUGUCAAAUAUAUUAAUAAAAAGUGUUACUAUUCAUGUUAGAUCUUCAUGAAUAAGAAUGAGAAUCGAAAAUAACUUGUAAUAUUGUGUGUGCAUGUUUGGUAUUUAGGUGAAAUACUUAGAAAGAGAGGUUGGAUUAAAUUAAUUUUUUAUUAUCAAAAUGGAUGAUUUUAAUUUUUAUAUUAAUAAAAAGAAUUAAAUAAAAUUAAUAUUUAUUGUUUUAGAAAAUGACAUCAAAUUAUUGUUUUUUAUAGUUCAAUCCAAAUAAAAUAUCUACAAAAUCAUUAAAAACUUUUAAAAUGUGACUUUGUUAAAUAGUAAAUAGCAUUUUUUUAAAAGGGUUCAUAUAUAUCGUGAUACCUAAAGUUGGCAACUUCUACUUAGUAUCUAAAUCGGUACAUAAACUUGAAAAUUGUAAGUCAACUUCGUAUUUUUAUAAGUAUGAUGAUGUUGGUGUAGUGUGAGGAAGAAGACUUGAAUGGGUUUGAUUAUUUUUAAUAAUACAGGAAUUUACAUAUUAUAAGUAAAUAGACACUCACAUUCUUUAUGUAUUAUAAGGAAGAAGACUAAGUCGAUCUACUUUGUAAUCUCAUCAAUCUUAAUUUUCUCAAUUGUUAAGGGAGUUCAAAUGAAAUACAAAAUUUUGGUAAAAAAAAGUAUCCAAUUUUGUGAAUAAAAAAUAUAUGGUAAAAAAGAUUUGGUAUCGAUACUUCGGCGCGGGUAUCAAUACUCGAUACAUUGCUUUUGGUUGGAAAGUAGUGUCUGGAACGGCCAUGGGAUGUGUUGUUUUCCAAACCGGUAAGGCGAAAAGGUUUGUGAAUUUGGUUGAAGACCAACAUGAGAAGAGGCGAAGAAGAAAACCAAAAUAUAGCAAUCGCAUCAAUGGAUGAAGAAGGAUCUAGUUGGUGCAAAUGAAGUUAAAGCAUUUGUGCUGUGUCUUCAUAAUUUCUUGUUUAGUAGUCUGUCAGAAAGUUUUUCCUAUGGUGAAAAGUUGCAUUGGUAUGUGUCUGUCUUUAUGAUUGUACCAAUUCCUCUGUAUUUCAUUGCAUUUCGUACUAUUUGUAAGGGUUUAGUUCGAGUGUAACAUCUUGUAUGGUGCAACUAUGUAUGUCUUCUUUCUUGAUUAUUGAAAUUAUAAUCAAAAUUAAUACAUGUUCUUUUUAUUAGCUUAAGGGCGUAAAAACACUUCAAAAUUUUCAAAAAAUAAAAUAAAAUUUUAAGUCCCUCUUUUUUUUACACUCAAUUGAAAUUUUUAAAAUGUAUCAAAAAUAUCUUUACAGUUCUUCAAAAAAAAAAACAAUUAAACCCCUAUUUUUUUUCCGCUCAAUUGGGUACUUGAACUUUCAUAAUGCAUCAAAAAUGCCUUAAAUUUUUUUCAAAAAAGCAAUUAAGCCCCUACUCUUAUUAAAAAUUAGAAAAAAAUCAUAAAAAUAAUAAAUUUUAGAAAAAAUUAUUAAAUUUUAAUAAAAAUUUAAAAUUUUAUUAAAAAUUAGAAUUUUUUUUUAGAAAAAUCGUCAAAAAAUAAAAAAUUAUAAAAUCCAUCAAAAAGUUUUAACAAUUAACUUUAACUAUUGAUCGUUAAAGUUAACGACCUCUAGUUUUUUCAAUUAAAGUCAUUAUGUGUCGCAACUCAACGUGACAUGUAGCGAAAAUAGAUAAAAAAGUAAAAAUCAAUAAAAGUUAUAGAAAAAUUAUAAAAUAUUUCUUUUGGUAGAAUAAUUUUUAUAAAUUUUUUUUACAAAAUUUAUAUUUCUUUACAUUUUGUAUAAUUUUCUUAUAACUUUAUAAAAUUUUAUAAAUUUUUAUAUUUCUAUAUAUUUUAAAAUUUUUUAAAAUUUUUAUAAAAUUUUACAAUUUUUAUAUAUUUUUAAUAAAUUUUUAAUAUUUGAUUUUUUAUUAAAAUUUAAUAAUAUUAUAGAUUUUAUUGAUUUUAAUUUUUUAUCUAAUUUUUAAUAAAAUUAGGGGGUUAAUUGCUUUUUUUUUAAGUUUGAGGGUCUUUUUGAUGCAUUUUGAAAGUUCAAGUACCCAAUUGACUGCAAAACAAAAAGAAAAAAAGUAGGGGCUUAAUUGCUUUUUUUGAAAAUGUUUGAGGGCUUUUUUGAUGUAUUUUGAAAGUUCAAGUACCCAAAUGAGUGCAUAAAAAGAACAGGGGUUUAGUUGCUAUUUUGAAAAAGUUUGAGGGCUUUUUGCACCUUUAAACCUCUUUUCUUUUUCUAAAUUUAAUUUAGAACCAACUUUGUGUAAAGACUUGGGAAAUUUAAUUAGCAAAAUUUCUUUCCAUGUAAAAAUUUCCCCUAUUUCUUGUUUGAAUUUAAAGCAAUACAAUAUUUUUCUAGCAAAUAAUAGAAAAUGACAGUCAAUUAAUUCCAGCAAUACAACAUUUCCAGUCUGGUGGAAAACAGCUAGGGACCAAAUUUUUAAAGUGUUGUUUACUACACACUUAGGGACCAUAUAUGUAUAUAUAUAUAUUCCAGUCUGGGUCUUUGUCGUGUUUUGUUGGUUGGCUAUGGCCUUCUUGUUGUUUCAUGGCCACUGCCCGUGAAUUAAGUCAUAUGUGGCCUUGUUUGCUAGACCUUAGUUGCUAAGUUAAAGGGAGUGAAUAGAGCACCAUAUUUCUUCUUCUGCGUGGAAAAUAAGUUGGCAUUAUGCCAAAUUCCACAUUCAUACAUAGAAAGGAAGCAAGGCCAAGUCAUUAUACUUUGUAAUCUCAUCAAUUCUAAUUAUUUCACUUCUUCAUUCUUUAGGGAGUUCAAGUGAAAUACAAAUUUUUCCACAUCCAAUCUCAUAAAUAAUCCGUCUUUGAACUUUCACAAAAAAAUAUUAAAUACCCAUUCACUUUAAUUCUACUAUUCUUAAAUCAUUCAAGUUUUGUGGAAAAUAUGCUUCUUGGAUAAAAUUAUUCAACACACAUGCCUUGAAUUUUAUGCAAUAAAAUAAAUCAAUAUAGGCCACACAUGCUUUGAAUAUUUAAGUAGUCCACAAUUUUGUUCGUUUGUGUGCAAAAUUCUACAUUGCUUGACAGCCAUACAUUCUAAGUAAAUAGACACCCACAUUGUUUACGUAUUAUGAAGAAGAAGACUAAGUCAGUCUACUUUGUAAUCUCAUCAAUCUUAAUUUUCUCAGUUAUUUAGGGAGUUCAAAUGAAAUACAAAAUUUUGGGAAAAAAAAUGUAUCCAAUUUUGUGAAUGAAAAAUAUAUGGUAAAAAGGAUUUGGUAUGGAUACUUCGGCUCGGGUAUCAAUACUCAGGGUAAGUUUAUCGAUACAUUGCUUUUGGUUGGAAAGUGGUGUUGAUAGGUGAUGACUAAAAUUUGAUAAAUUUGAAAAGUACAUGAAAUUUAACGAUUAUUGUUUGGUGAUGACUAAAAUUUUAAAAUUUGAAAAGUACAUGAACUAAAAAUGACCAAAUUAAAGUAUAAAGAUUAAGUCCACAACUUUUGCAAAGUACAAGGACUAAUAGCAGAAAUUAACCUAAAUUUCAUAUGGGUCAAUUACAAAAAUAAUCACUAAACUAUUCCUUUGGUUCUAUUCUAGUCACUCAACUAUAGAGGUGCUCAUGGGCUGAGCCAGGUCAAGCCUAAGUAUGAUAUUAAUGUAUUUUAUACUUGCUCAAGCUUGGCUCGGCCUGAAAUAUGAGCUUAAAAUUUUGCCUGAACUCAUCCAUAUUUGCAAAAGACUAACCCAAGCUCAUUUUAAGCAUGCCUAUAUAAUUUUUAAUUUUUUUUAAAUAUUUAUAUUAUAUUAUAUUAAUUAAUAAUUUAAACAUUUUUUAUUUAUUAAAAUUUUUUAUAGUCAUUUUAACAUUAUUUUAAUGUUUACAUUAUAGUAUUAUUAUAUAUUUAGUAUAAGUAUUUUUUUAAUAUGUUCUAAUUUAUAUAAUAUAAAGUAUUAUACACUUAAAAACGGGCCGGGCUGGGCUUGAGCUUUAGUUGUUACUCAACUAUUAAUUUUUUCGAUUUAGUUGUUAACCUUUUCAAAAGUAAAUAUUUUAGUCAGUCUCCUAUUAGUUGUUGUUAAAUGAGUGACGGAAAGCUAAUGUGAGCUUUUUUUAUUAGUCUAAUAACAAAUUUAGCCCUCCAAUGUUUACACAUUCUAUCAAUUUGAUCGUAAAUAUAAAAAAAAAAUCAACAAAUUUAGCCCUGAAUAUUAACAAAACUUGUCAUUUUAGUUCAAAUUCUAAAAAAUUUAAUAAAUUUAACCUUUAAUAUUUUCAAAAAAAUAGCAAUUUAGUUCUAAUUCUAAAAAUUUUAAUAUAUAUAUUUAAAAAAAUAUUUCUAAUCCUCUGUCUCACCCUUUGAUUUUUUAGAUGAGCUAAAAUCAAAAUAUAUCAUUAUGUCUUUUUGUUUUAAUGCUAAAAGAGAUAAAAAAAAAUGGAAAGCUAAAAUGGCUUUUCGUUUGUGAAGUUACAAAAUGCCAAAUAAAUUAUUAUGUCUUUUUAGUUUUAAUUUUUUACUUGAUUAAAAGAGAAAUAAUUAACGAAUGAAAAAUAAUUAUUCACAAAUAAAUUUAUCAGAAUUUAUAACAAAUGAGAUUUUAAAUUUGAAUUUAUAAAUCAAAAUUUAUAUAUAUAUAUAUAUAAAAGAAAACACAUUUUUAUGAAAUAUAAGAUUUUGUUAAAAGAAAGAGCAUAUAAAAGCAUACACGUUUUUAUGAAAUACAAGAUUUUGCUAAAAGAAAAAGCAUCCAAUUUUAAGAAUGAAAAAUAUAUGGUAAAAGCAUCCAUAACUUUUCAAUAUAAAAGAAAAAAAAGACUAACACCAAUGUUGUGGUAUUAUUUGUUGCCUAUAAAUACCAUUCCUAUCCUUCUUCUUCCUCUACAAACAUAACAUGGCCCCCUAUCUCUUUCUCUGCCUAUUCCUCUUCUUUCCCCAUCUUUAUGCUUCUUUUCUUCUUCAGAAUCUCACUCCUGCUCUUCACUAAUCCAGUUUAAGGACUCUUUUUCCAUCACAAAGGAUGCUUCCUGGUAUUUCGAUUAUAUUACUGGCCUUAAAUCUUAUCCCAAGACAAAUUCAUGGAAGGAGGGUACAGAUUGCUGCUCAUGGGAUGGGGUCACUUGUGACCACCUAAAUGCUCAUGUUAUUGCCCUUGACUUGAGCUGCAGUUGGCUAUAUGGCACCUUCCCUUCCAAUACCACUCUCUUCCUUCUUCCUCACCUUCAAAAACUCAACCUUGCCUACAAUCAUUUUAAUUCUUCCAAAAUUCCAUCCGAGUUCGGUCGGUUUACAAGCCUAUUCUACCUCAACCUUUCCAAUACAUGGUUUUCAGAAGUCCCAUCCCAAGUCUCCCACCUGUCAAAAUUGGUUUCACUUGAUCUCUCCUCUCGGAUUGAUUACUCUGGGCAAGUUACAAUUGACAAACAUGCUCUGGAGGGACUUGUUCACAACCUAACCGAGGUCAGACAUCUGUUUUUGGAUGGAAUCAACAUGACUUCUGUUAAUGCUCAUGUCUUCAUGAAUCUAUCCUCUUCUCUAAGGUCUCUCAGUCUUGCUUUUUGUGAUUUGCAAGGAAAAUUCCCAAAAAACAUUUUUGAUUUGCAAAACCUCAAUCUCCUCAACUUGAGAUACAACCAAUUGAGUGGACAAAUUCCAAGAUCAUUGGGGAACCUCUUGCAACUCACUCAUUUACACUUGUCGGGGAACCAAUUGAGUGGACAAAUUCCAUUGUCAAUUCUAAACCUAACGCAGUUGGAAUACUUGGAAAUAUCUGAAAAUUCUUUAGAAGGUUCCAUUCCAGAUGAGGUAACCGCUUUUCCUAAUCUAAUAUAUUUAUACUUAUCUGACAAUUUACUCAAUGGAACACUUCCGUCAUGGUUGUAUACUGCUCCCUGCUUAAAGGAAAUAUAUCUCUCUCAAAAUCAAUUCAGUGGGCAUAUCAAAGAAUUCCAAACCAAAUCACUAGAAUAUUUAUAUCUAGAAAAUAAUAAACUCCAAGGUCCCCUUCCAUCUUCAAUAUUCCAACUUCUCAAUCUUACCGGGCUCCUUUUAUCCUCAAAUAAUCUUAGUGGUGUCAUAGAGUUGAGCAUGUUCUCAAACCUUCCAAAUCUCAAAUAUCUUGACCUUUCAUAUAACAGCCUAUCCUUAAUAUCUAAUACUACUUCUACUGUUAAUCAUAUAUUGCCUAAUCUUACAGGCUUACAUUUGUCAUCUUGCAAUCUUAGUGAAUUCCCCCAGUUUUUAAAAGGGCUUAAAAGUUUGGAAAGCUUAGACCUCUCUUGCAACAAAAUUGAAGGCAAGAUUCCACAGUGGAUGCAAGAGGUGGGGAAUGUCUCUUUGACUUACUUCAACGUAUCUCACAACUCUUUGACAGAAGUUGAGCACUUUCCAUGGAAGAAUAUUGAAAGUCUUGACUUAAGCUCCAAUUUGAUCAGUGGAAAUCUUCCGAUUCCAGCUUCGACCAUCAAUGUCUUUCUGAUCUCAAAUAAUAGUUUCAAUGGAGAGGUCUCUUCUUUAAUCUGCAAUGCCAGUGAUCUUGAAAUUCUUGAUUUGUCCCACAAUAACUUGAGUGGAACAAUUCCGCAAUGUUUUGGAAAUUUGAGCAACAGCCUUGAAUUCUUGAAUCUGAAGAAGAACAAGUUCUAUGGGACGAUUCCUCCAAAAUUUGCAAAGGGAUGCCGAUUGACUAAUUUCAACUUAAAUGGAAAUCUGUUAGAAGGGCCAUUGACUCCAUCCAUCCUUAAUUGUAGGGGUCUGGAAGUGCUAGAUCUUGGUAACAACAAGAUCAAUGAUACAUUUCCUCAUUGGUUGGGAAGUCUUCCACAGCUACAAGUUCUUGUAUUGAAGUCAAAUCAUAUGCAUGGUUCCUUAUGUGUCAAUAGCUCCAAGUCUAGCCCUUUUUUCUCUAAAAUCCAAAUUUUUGAUCUCUCAAGUAAUUAUUUUUCUGGACCCCUACCAGUGAGAUACAUCAACAGCUUCAAGGCUAUCAUAAAUCUAGAGAAGAUUGGUAGUACAGUGUCGUACAUGGGGGUGAAUGAUGGCUUCUAUACCUAUUCCAUUGGAAUUGUUAUAAAAGGACAAUAUAUGGAAUUGGUGAAAAUUUUCACCAUGUGGAUGAUCAUUGAUCUAUCAAACAAUCAGUUUGAAGGGGGUAUUCCAGAGGUUUUUGGGAAGCUUAACUUACUGAAAGGGCUCAACCUUUCUCAUAAUAACCUUAAUGGUGGUAUCCCCACCUUAAUAGGGAAUUUGACAAGUCUUGAAUGGUUGGACCUAUCUUCAAACAGGUUGUCUGGGACGAUUCCAAAUAGAUUGGCAGAUCUGCCAUUUCUUUCGUCCUUCAAUGUUUCUGAAAAUCAACUCCAUGGUCAGAUUCCUCAAGGCAAACAGUUCAACACAUUUGGAAAUGAUUCAUAUGAAGGAAACAAGGCAUUAUGUGGAUUUCCGGUCUCAAAAGGUUGCAACAUCAUUGAGCCAGCACCUCCAAAUGUGCUUGAAAAAGAUGGCUCAAAAUCAAACAUUACUUUUGGUUGGAAAGUGGUGUUGAUAGGUUAUGGAUGCGGAGUGGUGUUCGGAAUGUCCGUGGGAUAUGUUGUUUUCCAAACUGGUAAGCCGAAAUGGUUGGUGAAUUUGGUUGAAAUCCAACAUGAGAAGAAGCGAAGAAGAAAGUCAAAGGAUGGCAGUCGCAGCAAUGGACGAAGAAGAAUCUAGUUAGUGGAAAUGAUGUUCAAGUGUUGAUGUUGUAUCUUCAUAAUUUCUUGUUUUGAAGUCUGUCAAAUUUUUUUCCUAUCGUGAAAGGCUGCAUUGCCAUGCAUCUGUCUUUUUUAUUGUAACCAUUCAUCUAUAUUUCAUUGCAUUACGUAGUAUUUGUAAGGGUUUGUUUUAAAUGUAACAUUUUGUAUGGUUCAACUAUUUAUGUCUCUUUCAUGAGUUUCAUUUUUGAGUCUCAAUAAUCUCUGCAUUCAAGAUUUUGUCAGCUUAUUAAUUGGUGGAUCAAUAAUCUUCAUGCUCAUCUCAUCAUCUUUUUCUCGAGUUAAACACAGUCACUACUAUAAUAAUUUCUUCUGUGUGGAAAAUAAUUUGGCAUUCUGCAAAUUUCCACAAUGCUUGUGGAUUACCUCUGGUUGACGGCUAUACAUAUAAAGGAAGGAAACAAGACUAUGUCAAAAUUUCCAAAAAUCAGUCAUUCAUUUUUGAACAAUUAAACAUUCGUAUUCUAUUUUUCAAAAUUGUAAAUCCUCAAAUAAUGUAAAUUAGUCCUAAAACUCAAGUUUUGAAAUCUUUACAAUUUAACCCCUUAUAGUUUCAAACUUUACUAUUUUAUGCUCAACUUUCUAAAUCUUCAUAUUUCAUGAUCAUAUAAUUUAGUUAUUACAUCAAUAUUUCAGAUUUCACUACUCAAACCCUUACUUCAUUUUGGUCCUUACUUCAAUUUUAUCAAAUUAAAUCAUUUUUCAAUUUGAAUGCAUUGAUGUGAAAUUAAGGGACCACUAAACAAUGUUGAUGCGAGUUUAGGCAAAAUUGGUGGAUCCCAUCUCCACAGCAAUUUCUUUAUGGAAGUACUUGCUUUCACACUGCAAACUUGGAUAGUUUGUGGUGGACGAUGAUGAAUCAUUUCACAAUCAAACACACCAUUUUUAAACACAUAUAUUGAAAUCAUUAUUAAAAUUAUAAUCAAAAUUAAUACAAGUUCUUUUUAUUAGCUUAAGGGCGUAAAAACUCUUCAAAAUUUUCCAAAUAAAAAAUAAAAAAUUUAAGUCCCUCUUUUUUUUUUACACUCAAUUGAGUACUUAAACUUUUAAAAUGUAUCAAAAAUAUCUUAACACUUCUUCAAAAAAAGCAAUUAAACCCCCUUUUUUUUCCGCUCAAUUGGGUACUUGAAUUUUCAUAAUGCAUCAAAAAUACCUUAAUUUUUUUUUCAAAGAAACAAUUAAGCCUCUAUUUUUUUCCUACUCAACUAGGUACUUGAACUGUCAAAAAAACAAUUAAGCACCUACUCUUAUUAAAAAUUAGAAAAAAAAUCAUAAAAAUAAGAAAAAUUUAGAAAAAAUUAUUAAAUUUUAAUAAAAAUUUAAAAACUUAUUAAAAAUUAGAAAAAAUUUUAGAAAAAUUGUCAAAAAAUAAAAAAUUAUAAAAUUUUAUAAUUAAGCACUCUUAAAAUUUUGAAAAUUCUCAUUAAUCUCACACAAAUUUAAAAUUUUUUAUUAGACCCCCAAUUUUUUUUAAAAAUGUUAUUAAACCCUUAAAUUUUUAGAAAAUUUUACCUGCCCCCUCCCAAAAAAAAAACUAGUCCCAACUCUUAGGAUCCGCCAUUGGUACUUGGUAUUAACACUAUUAGAAAAUUGCUAAAUCAACCAAUGAAAAUUUGACACAUGGAACCCUUUUUUUAAAUUAUCAAGUUACGGAUGUUCUUCAAGGGCAUGGAACUCAACUUGAAAAUUUUACUAAUUUGGUUGCAAAAAACAUUGAGGAAGCAUAUAAUGAUCUAACCCUUUUUUGUUUUGUUCUGUUUUUAAUUUGUUAUGGGAUUCUAUUGAAUGAUAAUUUUUUUUAUUUCCCAUACUUGGUUCUUCAACAACAACAUAUUCGAGAUUUUAUUUUUCUAGAAUUUUUAUAUAAAAGUUUGUAUUUUUUAAAAUAAUUUUGAGUUUUUUAUAAUUUUUAUAUAGAAUCGAGGUAAAUUGGCAAAAAAUUAUAAAAAACAAAAUACUAAAAUUGUUUAGUUAAGUGACCAAAGCGAAGAUCUACCCAUAGUUCAGUGGCUAAUUAUGUAGUUUACCCUUUCAUAAUUAAAAAAAUAGUUGUUCAGUUUUUCUUGUAUUAGAUAACAUUUUAGAUGGUAAAAACCCUCUUUAGUCCCUCUCAAUUUUGAUAUUAAGUAAAUUGGUCCAUUUUUUUUUAAAAAAAUCAAAGCAAUUUAAUCUUUGUUAAUUUCGAAAGUGAGCAACUAAGGACAAUUAAUCACAAUGUCAAUAUUUUCCAUCAAUUGUACAUAUUUUUAUUGGUAUAAUAACAAAUUUAGCUCUCCAAGUUUACACAUUCUAUCAAUUUGUUUUGAUUUAACAAAUUUAGCCCGCAACAGUUACAUAUUCUAUUAACAUUUACACAUAAUAUAUAAACAUCGAGAGCUUAAUUUGUUAUUAUAUAAAUAAAAUUAUGUACAAUUUACAGAAAGCAUUAACACAAUAAUUAAUUGUCCUUAGUUGCUCCAUUUCAAAAUUGAUAAUGAUUAAAUUGCUCUAAUUUUCUGAGAGAAACCAAUUUCUUCAAUAUAGAAAUUGAGAGGGACGAGAAAUGUGUUUUUAUCCAUUUUAGAUACUAACAAGUGUUUGGCGUAGUGGCAAGGCAUAUUACAUUCUCAAGGAGAGAAUGCGUAUUCAAACGUUGGAGAUAAUAAUAUUGUGUGGGGUAUCCACGGAUCUCGAACACAGACUGUAAAACAUAUAUAAAAAAUAAAAAGAAUAACAUCUUAAUUUAAAUAAUUAAUAAAUUUUAAUUUCAAAAAAGUAUUUUGAGAAACAUAGGUUUUAGUAAAUAGUAAAAUUGAAUCGAUAAAACAUGUCCAGUAUAUCAGAAUCAUAAAAAUACAACUUAAUUAAUUUGAAUUUAAACUUAACUCGACUCAAUUUGAUUAUAAAAAACUGAUAAUUUGAAUCCAAAAUGACAUGAUCUUGAAAUGAUUUGAAUUAAUUGUCAAACCCAAACGACAAAACUCGAAAUGAUGCAAUCCAAAAACACAAGUCAAAUGAACUAAACUAUGAAAGAAAAAAAAAACCUUACACCGACUCAAAUCCAAAAUAAUUUAAUCCUAAAAUAACCCAAAUUUUAUAUAAUAUAAACUCGAAAUAACCCGAUAAUUUUUUUCAGUCUUACUGUGUUUAUCUUUAUAAGUAUUCUUGUUUUCCUUGCCCAUACAUGUAUUGUAGUUAUCAAAAAAUAUAUUCUACUUUGGAUUUUAUUUAUAUUAAAUUUUAGGUUAAAUUCCGCUAUUACUCUCUGUACUUUAUGAAAAUGAUGGAUUUAAUCAUUGUACGUUAAUUUAAUCAAUUUUAGUCUUUGUAUUUUUUGAAUUGGUCAAUUUUAAACCAUUUACUUUUUGAAUUUUGAAAUUUUAGUCUUGAUUCAAAUAAUAUUAAUAAUAAUAAAAUCUGCUUAUUUAAAUUUAAUUAUUAGUUUUGUACUAUGUAGACAAUUAUAGAUUUAAUCCAUAUUUUUCAAUUGGGUCAUUCCAAGUCUUUAUACUUUUCAAAUUUUAAAAUUUCAAUAUUGAUGCAGAAUGCGAGUUGCUAUUAAUUAAUUGAUUUUUUUAGCCAAUGCAUGUAGAAAUAAUAAGUUGUUAUGUCAUUAUACUUAAAAUAAUAUAUUGGUUUAACCCGCUUAAAUUAUGUCUUUUUUUCCAUCUUGGGACCUAAAUUUUUUUGGGGUCAUAAGUGGUACCUAAACUACUUUUUUUUCUCCUUCAAAUUAGGGCUCCUUUGGAUCACCAGCAAGUUUCAGUGUGGUGAGAUUUAAAGAGUAAAAAAAAUUUGAACUGAAACGCAGCUCUAUUUGGGGUGUUUGGCAAGCACACCAGUAAGCAUUUUUCACCUCACUGUAACCCAAAAUAUUGGCUGGAGUUAAAAGCUUCAGUGGACUGAUUUGGAAGUCCAAAAAUAAGAGUAAUUAUUAUUUUACCCCUCCAAUUCUUCCUUUAUUAUUUAUUUUAUUUAAAACAGAUAACAUAAGUUUAAUAUGUCAUUAUUUAAUAUUAUUUAAUUUACAAUAAAAUUAUAAUUUUUAUUUAUAAAUUUAGUAUAAAUACAAUUUAAUUUAUAUUUUAUUAUUUGAUUCAAAUAUAAUCUGUAAAAAUAUUUUGAUAUUUUAUUAUGAAUAUAAUUUAAAAAUAUUUUAUUGUAUAUUUAAAAUAUUUUGAUAUUUUAUUAUGAAUAUAAUCUGUAAAAUAUUUUGAUAUUUUUGAAUUUUUCUCUAGUUUUAAUUUAUUUUUAAUUAUUUAUUAUUAAAAAUAAAUAUAAUUGUAAUAAUUUUUAAUUAUUUAUUAAUUUUGUAAUUGUUAAAUAAUUUUAAAAACUUCUAUUAUAUAUAUUUUUAAUCUAAUGUCCUUAAAAGUCAUUUUCUAUUUUCACCUCACCGCUACAACUGCGUUUGAAUCCAAACACACACUCCACCGCUGUUUCUAAUCUCACCGCUACAGUAUCCAAUCUCACCGCUACAGUACCUAAUCUCACCGCCACCGCUGUUUUUAACCUUACCGGAACUAAACACACCGCCCAUCCAAACCCACCCUUAGUAUAUUCAUUAGUUAAACUGUUAAGUCUAUUUAAAAAAGAAAGACUCGGACAACAAAUUAAUACUUAAACAAUGCUCUUUUUCCCAAGGUACCUAAUUUUUAUUUUGGCCAUGAGUAUUACUAAAACUAUUAUUCCAUUACUCAUUUUACACCAAAAUGUUAUAUCGGCUGAAAAGAUUCCAACAAAUAAUAGAUUGUAUGUCAUAUAAACUUUUAAAAAUAAUUAUUAAUUAAUUUUUUUCAUAUAAACUGAACGGUUUGACUAAUGACGGAGGUACCAAAUUAUAGUCUAGGUACCAAUUUAUGGGUUAAGCCUAUUUCUAAAAUAGACUUUUGACUAAUGGCGGUAGUAACUUGGGAAAAAAAAGUAGUUUAUGUACCACUUGUGAACAAAAAUAAGUUUAGGUACCAACAUCGUAAAAUGAGUAUAAUUUAGAUACCGAUUUAUGAGUUAAGCCUAAUAUAUUUGUUGCAUCAUUUUUUUGAAAAUAACAGAACUUAAUAAAUUUAACGGUUAUUUUUUGGUGAUGACUAAAAUUUUAAAAUUUGAAAAGUACAUGAACUAAAAAUGACCAAAUUAAAGUAUAAAGAUUAAGUCCACAACUUUUACAAAGUACAAGGAGUAAUAGCAGAAAUUAACCUAAAUUUCAUAUGGGUCACUUACAAAAAUAAUCACUAAACUAUUCCUUUGGUUCUAUUCUAGUCACUCAACUAUAAAGGUGCUCAUGAGCCGGGCCAGGUCAGGCCUAAGCAUGAUAUUAACGUACCUUAUGCUUGCUCAAGCUUGGCUCGGCCCGAAAUAUGAGCUUAAAAUUUCGCCUAAACUCAUCCAUAUUUGCAAAAGACUAACCUAAGCUCAUUUUAGGCAUGCCCAUAUAAUUUUUAGUUUUUUUUUAAUAUUUAUAUUAUAUUAUAUUAAUAAUUAAUAAUUUAAACUUUUUUUAUUUAUUGAAACUUUUUAUAUAGUCAUUUUAACAUUAUUUUAAUGUUUACAUUAUAGUAUUAUUAUAUAUUUAGUAUAAGUUUAUUUUGUUAAUCUAUUCUAAACUAUAUAAUAUAAAGUAUCAUACACUUAAAAAUAGGCCGAGCUGGGCUUGAGCUUUGAAUGUUCAAGCCUGAACUCAGCCCAAAUUUUAAACGGGCCUAAUUUUUUUACCCAAACCCAAUUUUUGGGCCUAAUAUUUUUAUCCAGACCCUCCCAAAUUUUGGGCAGCCCUUGGGCCUUGGCAAGUAGCCCAACUCAUUAACAAGUUUACUCAACUAUUAAUUUUUUCGAUUUAGUUGUUAACCUUUUCGAAAGUAAAUAUUUUAGUCACUCUCCUGUUAGGUGUUGUUAAAUGAGUGAUGGAAAGCUAAUGUGGGCUUUUUUUAUUAGUCUAAAAACAAAUUUUGCCCUCUAAUGUUUACACUUCUAUCAAUUUGAUCCUAGAUAUAAAAAAAAAUCAAAAAAUUUAGCCCUGAAUAUUAUCAAAAAUUAGCGAUUUAGUUCUAAUUCUAAAAAUUUUAAUAUAUACAUAUAUUUAAAAAAAUAUUUUUAAUCCUCUGUCUCACCCUUUGAUUUUUUUAGAGAUAUUCAAAAAUUAAAAUAUAUCAUUAUGUCUUUUCGUUUUAAUGCUAAAAGAGAUAAAAAAAAUAGAAAGCUAAAAUGACUUUUCAUUUGUAAAGUUAAAAAAUACUAAAUAAAUCAUUAUAUCUUUUUAGUUUUAAUUUUUUACUUGAUUAAAAGAGAAAUAAUUAACGAAUGAAAAAUAAUUAUUCCCAAAUAAAUUUAUAAGAAAUGAGAUUUUGCUAAAAGAAAAAGCAUGUAAAAGUAUACACGUUCUUAUGAAAUACAAAGAUUUUGCUAAAAGAAAAAGUAUCCAAUUUUAAGAAUGAAAAAUAUAUGGUAAAAGGAAGACUAAGUGGUUGUUGAAAAAUACAAAAAUUUUGAAAAUCUAAUAUCCAUAACUUUUCAAUGUAAAAGAAAAAAAUGACUGUAACACCAAUGUUGUGGUAUUAUUUGUUGCCUAUAAGUACCAUUCCUAUCCUUCAUCUUCCUCUACCAACAUAACAUGGCCUCCUAUCUCUUUCUGUCCCUGUUCCUCUUCUUUCCCCAUCUUUAUGCUUCUUUUUCUUCUUCAGGAUCUCACUCCUGCUCUUCACUAAUCCAGUUCAAGAACUCUUUUUCCAUCACAGAGUAUGCUUCUUAUCAUUGCAAUGAGAUUGCUGGCCUUCAAUCUUAUCCCAAGACAAAUUCAUGGAAGGAGGGUACAGAUUGCUGCUCAUGGGAUGGGGUCACUUGUGACCACCUAAAUGCUCAUGUUAUUGCCCUUGACUUGAGCUGCAGUUGGCUAUAUGGCAACUUCCCUUCCAAUUCCACUCUCUUCCUUCUUCCUCACCUUCAAAAACUCAACCUUGCCUACAAUCAUUUUAAUCGUUCCAAAAUGCCAUCCGAGUUCGGUCGGUUUACAAGCCUACUCUACCUCGACCUUUCCAGUACAGGGUUUGCAGGAGAAGUCCCAUCCCAAGUCUCCCACUUGUCAAAAUUGGUUUCACUUAAUCUUUCUUGGAUUGGACAACAAUUAACAAUUGACAAACAUGCUCUGGAGGGACUUGUUCACAACCUAACCGAGGUCAGGUAUCUGUUUUUGGAUGGAAUCAACAUGGCUUCUGUUAAUGCUCAAGUCUUUAUGAAUCUAUCCUCUUCUCUAAGGUCUCUCAGUCUUUCUGGUUGUGAUUUGCAAGGAAAAUUCCCAAAAAACAUUUUUGAUUUGCCAAACCUCAAUCUCCUCAACUUUGGAGACAACCAAUUGAGUGGACAAAUUCCAAGAUUAUUGGGGAACCUCUUGCAACUCACUUCUUUAGACUUGUCGUUGAACCAAUUGAGUGGACAAAUUCCAUUGUCAAUUCUAAACCUAACGCAGCUGGAAUUUUUGGCAAUAUCUGAAAAUUUAUUAGAAGGUUCCAUUCCAGAUGAAGUAACCGCUUUUCCUAACCUAAAAUUUUUAUACUUAGAUAACAAUUUACUCAGUGGAACACUUCCGUCAUGGUUGUAUACUGCUCCCUCAUUAGACAGUAUAGGUCUCUCUCAAAAUCAAUUCAGUGGGCAUAUCAAAGAAUUCCAAUCCAAAUCACUAGAAUGGAUAGCGUUAGAGAAUAAUAAACUCCAAGGUCCUCUUCCAUCUUCAAUAUUCCAACUUCUCAAUCUUACCCGCCUCUUUUUAUCCUCAAAUAAUCUUAGUGGUGUCAUAGAGUUUCGCAUGUUCUCAAACCUUCCAAAUCUCGACCUUCUUGACCUUUCAUAUAACAGCCUAUCCUUAACAUCUAAUACUACUUCUACUGUUAAUCAUAUAUUGCCUAAUCUUACAAUGUUAUUUUUGUCAUCUUGCAAUCUUAGUGAAUUCCCCCAAUUUUUGAAAGGGCUUAAAAGGUUGGAAAUGUUAGACCUCUCUUGCAACAAACUUCAAGGCAAGAUUCCACAGUGGAUGCAAGAGGUGGGGAAUGUCUCUUUGACUUUCUUAAACGUAUCUCACAACUCUUUGACAGAAGUUGAGCACUUUCCGUGGAAUAAUAUUGCAGUUCUGGACUUAAGCUCCAAUUUGAUCCGUGGAAAUCUUCCGAUUCCAGCUUCGAAGAUCAAUGUCUUUCUGAUCUCAAAUAAUAGUUUCAAUGGAGAGGUCUCUUCUUUAAUCUGCAAUGCCAGUGAUCUUGAAAUUCUUGAUUUGUCCCACAAUAACUUGAGUGGAACAAUUCCGCAAUGUUUUGGAAAUUUGAGCAACAGCCUUGAAUUCUUGAAUCUGAAGAAGAACAAGUUCUAUGGGACGAUUCCUCCAACAUUUGCAGAGGGAUGCCAAUUGAGUAAUUUCAACUUAAAUGGAAAUCUGUUAGAAGGGCCUUUGACACCAUCCAUCCUUAAUUGUAAUGAUCUGGAAGUGCUAGAUCUUGGUAACAACAAGAUCAAUGAUACAUUUCCUCAUUGGUUGGGAAGUCUUCCACAGCUACAAGUUCUUGUAUUGAAGUCAAAUCAUAUGCAUGGUUCCUUGCGUGUCAAUAGCUCCAAGUCUAGCCCUUUUUUCUCUAAAAUCCAAAUUUUUGAUCUCUCAAGUAAUUAUUUUUCUGGACCCCUACCAGUGAGAUACAUCAACAGCUUCAAGGCUAUCAUAAAUCUAGAGAAGAUUGGUAGUACAGUGUCGUACAUGGGGGUGAAUGAUGGCUUCUAUACCUAUUCCAUUGGAAUUGUUAUAAAAGGACAAUAUAUGGAAUUGGUGAAAAUUUUCACCGUGUGGAUGAUCAUUGAUCUAUCAAACAAUCAGUUUGAAGGGGGUAUUCCAGAGGUUUUUGGGAAGCUUAACUUACUGAAAGGGCUCAACCUUUCUCAUAAUAACCUUAAUGGUGGUAUCCCUACCUCAAUAGGGAAUUUGACAAGUCUUGAAUGGUUGGACCUAUCUUCAAACAGGUUGUCUGGGACGAUUCCAAAUAGAUUGGCAGAUCUGCCAUUUCUUUCGUCCUUCAAUGUUUCUGAAAAUCAACUCCAUGGUCAGAUUCCUCAAGGCAAACAGUUCAACACAUUUGGAAAUGAUUCAUAUGAAGGAAACAAAGGAUUAUGUGGAUUUACGGUCUCGAAAGGUUGAAACAUCAUUGAGCCAGCACCUCCAAAUGUGCUUGAAAAAGAUGGCUCAAAAUCAAACAUUACUUUUGGUUGGAAAGUGGUGUUGAUAGGUUAUGGAUGCGGAGUGGUGUUCGGAAUGUCCGUGGGAUAUGUUGUUUUCCAAACUGGUAAGCCGAAAUGGUUGGUGAAUUUGGUUGAAAUCCAACAUGAGAAGAAGCGAAGAAGAAAGUCAAAGGAUGGCAGUCGCAGAAAUGGACGAAGAAGGAUCUAGUUAGUGGAAAUGAUGUUCAAGUGUUGAUGUUGUAUCUUCAUAAUUUCUUGUUUUGAAGUCUUUCAAUUUUUUUCCUAUGGUGAAAGGUUGCAUUGGCAUGCAUCUGUCUUUGUUAUUGUGACAAUUCAUCUAUAUUUCAUUGCAUUACGUGGUAUUUGUAAGGGUUUGUUUUAAAUGUAACAUUUUGUAUGGUUCAACUAUUUAUGUCUUCUUUCAUGACUUUUAUUUUUGAGUCUCAAUAAUCUCUGCAUUCAAGAUUUUGUCAGCUUAUUAAUUGGUGGAUCAAUAAUCUUCAUGCUCAUCUCAUCAUCUUUUUCUCGAGUUAAACACAGCCAAUACUAUAACAAUUUCUUCUGUGUGGAAAAUAAUUUGGCAUUCUGCAAAUUUCCACAAUGCUUGUGGAUUGCCUUUGGUUGACAGCUAUACAUAUAAAGGAAGGAAACAAGACCAUGUCAAAAUUUCCAAAAAUUAGUCAUUCAUUUUUUAAAAUUGUAAAUUCUCAAGUAAUGUAAAUUAGUCCUAAAACUCAAGUUUUGAAAUCUUUACAAUUUAACCCCUUACUAUUUUAUGCUCAACUUUCUAAAUCUUCAUAUUUCAUGAUCAUAUAAUUUAGUUACUACAUCAAUAUUUGAGAUUUCACUACUCAAACCCUUACUUCAUUUUGGUCCUUACUUCAAUUUUAUCAAAUUAAAUCAUUUUUCAAUUUGAAUGCAUUGAUGUGAAAUUGAGGGAGCACUAAACAAUGUUGAUGCGAGUUUAGGCAAAAUUGGUGGAUCCCAUCUCCUUAGUAAUUUCUUUAUGGAAGUAGCUGCUUUCACACUGCAAACUUGGAUAAUUUGUGGUGGACGAUGAUGAAUGAUUUGACAAUCAAACACAUAAUUUUUAAACACAAAAUUAACGAUAUAUUGAAAUCAUUAUUGAAAUUAUAAUCAAAAUUAAUACAUGUUUUUUUUAUUUGCUUAAGGUGUAAAAACCCUUCAAAAUUUUCAAAAAUAAAAAUAAAAAUUUAAGUCCCUCUUUUUUUUUUUAACACUCAAUUGAGCACUUAAACUUUUAAAAUGUGUCAAAAAUAUCUUUACACUUCUUCAAAAAAAGCGAUUAAACUCUUUUUUUUUUCGCUCAAUUGGGUGCUUGAACUUUCAUAAUGCAUCAAAAAGACCUUUUUUUUUCAAAGAAACAAUUAAGCCUCUAUUUUUUUCCCACUCAAUUGGGUACUUGAACUUUCAUAAUGCAUCAAAAAGCAAUUAAGGCCUUUUUCAUGCAUUAUGAAAGUUCAAGUACCGAAUUGAGUGCAAGAAAAAAAAAGUAGGGGCUUAAUUGCUUUUUUUGAAAAUGUUUGAGGGCCUUUUUGAUGUAUUUUGAAAGUUCAAGUACCCAAAUGAGUGCAUAAAAAGAACAGGGGUUCAAUUGCCAUUUUUGAAAAAGUUUGAGGGCUUUUUGCACCCUUAAACCUCUUUUCUUUUUCUAAAUUUAAUUUAGAACCAACUUUGAGUAAAGACUUGGGAAAUUUAAUUACCAAAAUUUCUUUCCAUGCAAAAAUUUCCCCUAUUUCUUGUUUGAAUUUAAAGCAAUACAAUAUUUUUCUAGCUAGUAAUAGAAAAUGACAGUCAAUUCAUUCCAAGCAAUGCAAAAUUUCCAGUCUGGUGGAAAAUUUGUUUCUUAGAUACUAUUAUUCAACUUUUAAGGCAUAAGUUUGAAUAUAGGGACUACAUUUUUAAAGUGUUGUUUACUACACACUUAGGGACCAUAUAUGUGUAUAUAUAUAUAUAUAUAUUCCAGUCUGGGUCUUUGUCGUGUUUUGUUGGUUGGCUAUGGCCUUGUUGCUGUUUCCACUGUCUGUGGUCUUUGUUUCUAAGUCAUAUGUGGCCUUGUUUGCUACAACUUAGUUGCUAAGUUAAAGGGAGUUAAUAGAGCACCAUUUUCUUCUUUUGCGUGGAAAAUAAGUUGGCGUUAUGCCAAUUUCCACAUUCAUACAUAUAAUGGAAGCAAGAGCAAGUCAAUAUACUUUGUAAUCUCAUCACUUCUUCUUCUUUCUUUGGGGAGUUCAAAUGAAAUACAAAUUUUGAGUAAAUCAACUAUUCAUUGACGGUACAAACGAGUUAAAAUUUCCAGCAUUCAUGUCUUUGUUUUCCCUCAAGUAAACGUAGUCAAUACUGCAAAUGGUGUGGAAGUAUUGUACAUUGUGGCCCAAAUGUCCAAAAUUUCCCCAUUGCUUGUAAAUGAAAUUUGGGUGAGAGAGAUGGGAGGAAGCAACAGCAAGUGUGAAGUCAAUAGACAAUUGACAGUCUUUAUUCUUUUGUGUGGAAAAUUAUUUGGGACCAAACUUGACUUGUUAUAAGGAAGAAGACUUUGUAAUCUCAUAAAUGUUAAUUAUUUUACUUCUUUGGUAAAAAAAAAAGUAAUCAAUUUUAUGAAUGAAAAAUAUAUGGUAAAGAGGAAGUAGUUGUUGAUCACUAAUAACAUGAUGAUUGUGGAAAUACAAAAAUUCCCGUAUAUGUGUUGAAUUCUGCAUAAUGUAAAUGUCCCGCAUUGCAUGUGAAUUCUGCAAUAAACUAAACUUUACGUGUUAUAGUUCUUUAAACCGAGUUAAUGAAAAGUAACCAUUCUUAUCAAAAUUAGUUAUACUCCUAAUUUAUAACAAAGGAAAUAAUAAUUUGAGUUUAACUCAAAGGUUAAUAUGUCAUCAAUGGGCGAUGGCGUGGUGCUACCAUGUCAGCGAUUAUUUUCUUCUUUGAGUUAAGGUGAUUUCACCAAUUUUAGGUUACUUUUUUACUUCAAUUUAGGUUUAUGCUUAUUAGCUUCGAAGAUUCUAAGUGGGUGCCACAAUCAAAGGGUGAGUAAAAAGGGUUAAAAAUGAUUUUUUUUAAAAAAUAUUUUUAUUUUUUUAUUAAAAAUUUAGAAUUAGAAUUAGACAAAUUUUGUAAAUGUUAAGGCUAACUUUAUUGAAUUUUUUUUUUCAGAAUUUGAACUAAAAUGACAAAUUUUGUAAAAAGCACUAAAUUUGUUGAAUUUUUUACAUUUAGGAUCAAAUUGAUAGAAUGUGUAAAUAUUAGAGGUUAAAUUUGUUAUUAGAUGAAUAAAAAAAACCCACAUCAACUUUCCAUCACUCAUCUAACGACAACUAAAGGGAGAGUGAUUAAAAUAUUUAAUUUCAAAAAGUUUAGCAACUAAAUUGGAAAAUUUAAUAGUUGGGUGACUAUUUUUAUAGUUUACAAUUUUUUUGGUCACCUGACUAUUAAGUGACACGUUUUAGUUGGUAUAAUAAUAAUUUUAGUCCUCAAUUUUUAUACUUUCUGUCAAUUUAACUCUAAUUAUAUAAAAUGAUUACAAAAGUGAAAUUCUUUUUAAAUUUUACAAAAUUCUAAAAAUUAAAUGAAAGUAGAUAAAAAUUUCAAAUAUAAAUAAAGUGAGAGAAAAUGAGGAAAAUAUUAUUUUUAAACCCUCCAAAUUUUAUUUGUAUUAUCUGUAAAGCAAUAUCUAAUAUCCAUUCUUUUAGAAAACAUAGAAAAAGGUAAAAAAAAGCUUAAGUAAAAUUAUCUGUAUAUAAUCUGCUUUUAUAAUUUGGGUUUUUAAAAAUAAAUUUAAAUGAAUUGAAAAUUUGAAUUGAGUUUGAAAAAGAAAAUUUUGUGGUAUAUUUUAUAUUUUUGCUAGAAAAAUAGCAUCAAAGUCGAUUUCGUAAGCUUUUGUAAUAUCAGUUACGGAUGUUCUUCAAGGGCAUAGAACUCAACUUGAAAAUUUUACUAAUUUGGUUACAAAAAAACAUUGAGGAAGCAUAUAAUGAUCUAACUUUUUUUUUCUGUUUUUAAUUUGUUAUGGGAUUCUAUUGAAUGAUAAUUUUUUUUAUUUCCCGUAUUUAGUUCUUCAACAACAACAUAUUCGAGAUUUUAUUUUUCUAGAAUUUUUACAUAAAAGUAAAGUUUGUAUUUUUUAAAAUAAUUUUGAGUUUUUUAUAAUUUUUAUAUAGAAUCGAGGUAAAUUGGCAAAAAAAUUAUAAAAACAAAAUACUAAAAUUGUUUAGUUAAGUGACCAAAACGAAAAUCUACCCAUAGUUCAGUGACUAAUUAUGUAGUUUACCCUUCAUAAUUAAAAAAAUAGCUGUUAAGUUUUUCUUGUAUUAGAUAACAUUUUAGAUGGUAAAAACCCUCUUUAGUCCCUCUCAAUUUUGAUAUUAAGUAAAUUGAUCCAUUUUAAAAAAAAAAUCAAAGCAAUUUAAUCUUUGUUAAUUUCGAAAGUGAACAACUAAAGAUAAUUAAUCACAAUGUCAAUAUUUUCCAUCAAUUGUACAUAUUUUUAUUGGUAUAAUAACAAAUUUAGCUCUCGAAGUUUACACAUUCUGUCAAUUUGGUCUUGAUUUAACAAAUUUAGCCCGCAACAAUUACAUAUUCUAUUAACAUUUACACAUAAUAUAUAAACAUCGAGAGCUUAAUUUGUUAUUAUAUCUGUAAUACCCAAAUUUUGCCCGGCCCAAGCCCAAGUAUCAAAACCCAAAUAAAAAAUAUACAUAAUAAAAGUCCAAUAACAUCAGUCCAGAUUACAAACCAAAUAAAUUAAGCCCAAACUCGAUUACAAAGUCCAAAUUCCCAAGCACAAACUGUUAACCCAACACUCCAGCCCCAAAUUAUUAGCCCAAAAUCAAACCCACUAAGCCUAAUCAGCCAACCCUAACCCGAACGGCCUACAUACCUAGCCCUAAAACAUUUUCAAAAAAACCUAAAGCAACUAUUUGCCUCAGCCGCCGCAACAGUAGCCUCCCACACGCGCGCCUCUCAUUAUCUUGAAGUAUCUUUUUGAAAUUGAUUAUUAAUUUAUGGGGUGCUUAAUUAUUGAUAUUAGUAUUUGUAUGAUAUGACUAAAAUAAUUAUUGUUAUUUGCAUUUACCUAUUAUUUGUUUGUCUUCUUAAUGUAUGUUUGGGUUGUUAUUUAUCCUUUUCGUUAUGUAUUGCUAUUCAAUCAUGUUUCAUUUGUAAGAAUUGUAUUUUUAAAGCACAACAGAUCAUUCUAUUUCAUAAUUUUCAAAAAGGCCUGAUGUUCAUAGCUCUCGAGAGAAUUGUGCCCUAACUUACUGGGCUUCAAUUCUUCUCGAUGAAUUUGAAUAGCCAAGUGUUUAUUGUAUUAAAACCACACAACUUUUAAAAUAAAGUUUUCAAGAUUUUAAAUUGUUGGAUCCUAACUUACUGGAUGUGGCAUUUUGUUAUCCCAAUUUUAAAAUAAAGGCAAUGUUUGACGUUUAAGAACUUCGAGAAAUCGAAACCUAACUUACUGGAUUCUGAUUUCUCAUUUGACUUAAAUGACCGAAUAGCCUUCUCAAAAUGCAUGAAUUUUAAAAUUUGAAAAUUAAAAAGACAUACUUAAUUUUGACGAUUGAAUCGUUGCACUCUAACUUACUGAGUGUGGCAAUUUAUUUCUUUGAAAUGAGUGUGUUUUAUUAUUCAAAUUUAAACUUUAAAAGGAUCGUAUUUUUCGACACUAAGACAUUAAACAAUCGAUUCGGUACCAAUUUUGGGCGUUACGAGGGUACUAACCCUUCCUCGUGCGUAACCGACUCCCGAACCUAUUUUCUCAAAAUUCGUAGACCUAAAAUUAUUUUCAAGGUGAUCCGGUCACACCUCAACAAAAGAUCGGUGGCGACUCCCAUUUUCAUUUUCAAAGUCGAUUCCCAUUUUUAAAACAUAAAAAAUGGUUUCGGCAAUAUCAAUAAAAAUUAUGUACAAUUUACAGAAAGCAUUAACACAAUGAUUAAUUGUCCUUAGUUGCUCCCUUUCAAAAUUAAUAAUGAUUAAAUUGCUCUAAUUUUCUGAGAGGAACCAAUUUGUUCAAUAUAGAAAUUGAGAGGGACGAGAAAUGUGUUUUUAUCCAUUUUAGAUACCAACAAGUGUUUGGCGUAGUGGCAAGGCAUAUUACAUUCUCAAGGAGAGAAUGCGUAUUCAAACGUUGGAGAUAACAAUGUUGUGUGGGGUAUCCACGGAUUUGAACACGGACUAUAAAACAUAUAUAAAGAAUAAAAAGAAUAACAUCUUAAUUUAAAUAAUUAAUAAAUUUUAAUUUGAAAAAAGUAUUUUGAGAAACAUAAGUUUUAGUAAGUAGUAAAAUUGAAUCGAUAAAACAUGUCCAUUAUAUCAGAAUCAUAAAAAUACAACUUAAUUAAUUUGAAUUUAAACUUAACUCAACUCGAUUUUGAUUAUAAAGAACUGAUAAUUUGAAUCCAAAAUGACAUGAUCUUGAAAUGAUUUGAAUUAAUUGUCAAACCUGAACGACAAGACUCGAAAUGAUGCAAUCCAAAAACACAAAUAAAAUGAACUAAACUAUGAAAGAAAAAAAAAACCUUACACCGACUCAAAUCCAAAAUAAUUUAAUCAUAAAAUAACCCAAAUUUUAUAUAAUAUAAACUCGAAAUAACCCAAAAAUUUUUAAAUUAAAAUUGACCCGACCCAAAUUCACACCACCUAAAAUCAAUCGUAACCACCUAAUUAAAAAGCAUGAAAUGAAAUGAUGUAAAGAGAAAAUUAGAGAAAACCAAAUAGAAAGUAACAAGCUUUUUUCAGAAUUGAAAGCAAAUUCCGUACAUUCACGACAUGCAUAAAACAACAAUGGUUUAUAGAAUUUGAGUUUUAGUCCCUGUACUUUAAAAGUUAAUUUUUCUUAAUUUAAAAAUUUUAGUUUAAUCAUUCAUGUUGGUUGUAGUUUCCAUUAGCUUAAUCAACAUGUUAAAUUAUUAAAUUUUGAUAUAAAAUAUUUACGAGUUUAAUAAUUAUACUGAGAUUUUUAAAUAAAAAAGUUGGAAGACUUAAUUUCUAACAUUUUAAAUAUAGGGACUAAAAGCAUCUUUUAACUUUGAUAUUAUUAUUAUAAGCAGGGAUAAUGUCAUCUUUGGCAUCUGUACUUUUAUAAAAUGUCUAGUGGUACAAGUACUUUGAAAAUAUAUAAUGUGGUACCUGAACUAUCAAUAUGUGUUAUUAUUAUGGUACAUGUACUUUGAAAAUGUUUAAUGUGGUACCUAAACUAUCAAUAUAUAUUUUAUUAUGAUACUUGAUAAAGAUGGACUAUUAUUGGUAGCUUAAGGGGCUCUUUGUCCCGCCAUCCCUGCAAAAAAAAAAUUGGAGAAUUUUGUUUUUUCCUUUAAAAUUUUUAGAAAAUUUCAAUUAAGCCCUCAAAAUUUUUGAAAAUUUUCAUUAUACCUUUUAAUUUUUUAAAAAAUUUUAAUUAAGCACUCUUAAAUUUUGAAAAUUCUCAUUAAUCUCACAAAAAUUUUAAUUUUUUUAAAAAAAAUAUUAUUAAACCAUUAAAUUUUUAGAAAAUUUUACCUGCCCCCUCCCCCAAAAAAAAACCUAGUCCCAACCCCUAGGAUCCGCCAUUGGUACUUGGUAUUAACACUGUUAGAAAAUUGCUAAAUAAACCAAUGAAAAUUUGACACAUAGAACCCUUUUUUUAAUUAUCAAGUCCACGUGGAUAAAAUAAUAGUGAAAAACUAAAUAAAACAAUAAUUAAAUGAAAUAAAAAAACAAAUAACUAAACAUAUGGUUAAUAAAAAAAAGCCGUACUUUCAAAGAUAAUAAAAAAUAUUAUUUAAAAAUCAAUUGAAAAUAUUAUUUUAAAAGGAAAACUCUUUGGAGAAGAUGAUCAUUUGCUUAAAUGGAGAAUAUAAUAUUUUUGGUUAUGCAAGUUUAGUAUUUACUUCUUUUUUAUUAAUCAUAUGUUUAGUUUUUUUAAUUAAUUUAAUUGUUUUAUUUAGUUUUUCACAUAAUGUUAUUUUACACAUGCGGACUUGAUGAAUUAGAAAAAAAUAUUACGUGUUAAAUUUUCAUUGGUUGGUCUAAUAAUUCAUUAACGGUGGAUUUGUUCUACAUUGAUGACAAAGAUGUGGAGUUUAAAGAAGUAAGAACUUAUCAACAAUAUUCGAGGUUCUGUUGUAUGUUGCCUUAUUAAAGAAGUCUUCACUUAAAAUCUUCUAUGUUGCCUUAUGUAUGUAGGUUCUUGAGUCACCUUUGCCAAAAGCACCACAUGAUACAUCUGUUACAUCCCACUGGCUUGCGAUUUAAGGCAUUCAACCAGUAAUUCCAGAAAAUGCUUCAAUUGAAGGUACCGUCUUAGCUAACCUAAAUAUUCUCUCGAAGCUAUUUGUGUUGAAGACUCUCAUGGUUCAUGUUCUUUUCUGGUUUUAUCACUUUAAUCUAAUACGAGUUAUCUUCAUUUCUACAUGGAAUUGGUAUUUUGCUUUCCAUGCAGCACCUUCUGAUGGUAAAAAGGCUGAAUACAAAGAAGAUGGGCUUUCCGUUGAUGUCAAAUUAUUUGUUAAACAUGUAUUAUCUAGAGAGCUUCAAGUAUGUUGUACAUCUUCAGCAACAUUUUUAUGUUAAAAUACAUUUUGCACAGAAUGAUAUUAAAAGACUAAUUUGGUUGUCAUGCAGCUUUACUUUGACAAGAUCGUGGACAUUACCAUGAAUAAAUCAGUAUCAAUUCUCUUUAAACAAGCAUUACUGAGUUUGGCAACAGACUCGGGAUUACAUCCUUUAGUUCCUUAUUUUACAUAUUUCAUUGCGGAUGAGGUUGUCUUAAAGAUCUUUCAUACCUCAUUAUAUAUGUGUGUUGCAAAGAACUUUUGGUUGGUUAUCUCAAGCUUACAUUUUUGCCACAUUUAUCUCAGGUUGCACGGAAUUUGAAUAAAUUCCCUCUCAUGUUUGCUUUGAUGCGUGUUGCCCGGAGUCUUCUCGAGAAUGAACACUUACACAUAGAACCUUACGUGAGUUUAUUAUUUCAAUCAUUUAGAAGUACACGAACUAAUGCAAAUAUGCUAGUGGUUUAUUUUCCACCUAUCUGAUUUUUUAAAAUGUUCUUCAGUUACACCAGUUGAUGCCAUCUAUUAUUACCUGCCUUGUUGCAAAAAGGUUAGGAAAUAAAUUCACCGACAAUCAUUGGGAACUUAGAAACUUUGCAGCAAAGCUAGUGGCAUCAAUAUGCAAAAGGUGAAGAUUUCUUUUCUUUUGGACUUAUACAUGCAUAUUCGUUUUUAUGAAUUUCAGGUGUCGAGUUUUUAGUUAUAAACUUGGACCUAUUCUUCAAAUCAUGUGUAUAUCAUUUUUAUGCUAUUUCACACAUGCAAAACAAAUGGUGCAAGCAUGCAUGUUAUAUGCACAGAAUUGUUGAAAGCUGGACUGCAAUGCAACAUGGAGCCAGAAGCAUGCAACUGUCGAGACCAGCAGCUAUCAAGCUCAGCUCAUUUUGCUUGGAGCGCACGAAUGGUUUUUGGACCAAAUGAAGCAACUGACAUUGCUGUUUUGUUUUGAUGUAAUUUAGUUCAGUUUGAUUGUAACUAGCUUUAAUAGUUAGUAGGAUUAAGUUAGUGAUUAGAUAGCUGAUGUAAAAGCUGAUAUGGCAGCUCAUUUUGUAUUUGACUUUAACUUAUUUUGGUUGUAAAUUAGUGGAUGCAGUUAGAUUAGUAGGUAACUAUCAAAUGAACAAAUUGUAACUCCUUUUUAUUUCAAAAAAUUUUGGAUGAAACGUAAUAAUGUUCAGUUACAAUUCUGGCUGUACAUUCAAGUUUCUUGCUUGCUGCUCUGCUUGUUUUUCUUUUCUGCUUCGUUUACUCUUGCUUCUGCUUGCAAAUCUCUUUGUUGCUGCUGCCAUUGUUCCAACAAGAAUACAUAGAUUAAUUACGUGUGGAUCAUUAAGAAUGCCUAUGUAUUGGAAAUUGGCCAACCAUGCUGCUGUUACAUUUUGUGUUGAAGUGCAUGCAGCUUGAUGACAUGCUGCAGCACAUAUGCUUGCUGUAACAGCAAGGUUUCUCUUUAGUUUCAUCCUAAUUAAACUAGUUGAAAAUGAACAAGUUGAUGACAACUUGAUGCAUGAGGUGUUGAAUGAUUAGUUUAGGUGGCUUGUUUAUGUGUACAAGCAAUGUUUUAAUAGUCCCAAUGCUGAUUAGUGGGGUUAGUUGACUAUUUGGUGAUGUAUUUGACUAUAAAUGUAUGUUUUUUUUCGUUGAAUGAAUGAGCUGAAUAAGCUAUCAGCCAUAUGCUCCCUUGCUGCACAUUUGUGAGCAAGUAAAAAUACUUCUUGCAUCUUGCUUCAUUGUUCUGUGCUCUCUGUUCUCUUCUUUUGCUGCUGCCAAUGCUCCAACACUAUGUUUGACCAUUGUGUGUGGCUACUUUUUUUUUACAUGAUCCAAUUUUCGAUAUGAUAUGCUUUGCUUUUAGGUUGAAUGCGGAAAAGAUUAGAACUUAAUUUCCAGCAUAAUGAUUUGUCUUGGAUAUGCAGAUUUUUACAUGCAUUUCUUAAAAGUCAAUAUUUUAUAGAUUCGGGCAUGUUUAUCACAACCUUCAGCCACGUGUGACAAGGACACUGCUCCACGCUUUUUUGGACCCAACGAAAACAUUUCCCCAGCAUUACGGAGCAAUUCAAGGGUUAGCAUGUUAGAAAUCAAACCCACUCCAAGCAUAAUCUAGAAGCAUGAGACGUGGAGCAAUUUUGUGCCAUGCAAAGUGCUGAAAUUUUAGCCAUACAAAGUGCUCCAUUAUUGAGAUGUUUUGUGGCUGGAAAUUAAGUGGAUUAAUAGCCACAUUUGUUGUCACUUUAUCAGCCUAUAAAUAGAGGCUUGAACUUGUGUUGUAAAAAAGAAGAAAAAUGAGAAGAAAAAAGAAAUAAGAGAAGCAACGUGAGUGAGAGUGAGAAGGUUAGCAAACCUUGAGUGAGUUAAAAUCUAGCAGCAGCUAGACUAUCUAGUCAUUGAGAAAAUAUUUGUAAUCUUCGUAUUGUAAUAUAUUGAGUGUGUAAUAAAAAGUAAAUUUUCGGCCCAUCACGUUUCCAACAAGUGGCAUCAGAGCUACGGUUCGGAGCUUGGUUCGGAGUUCGGUUCGUGUCCGGUUCGUGUCCAGUUCGGAGUACCUUUGGUGUUCAUCUAACAAGUCGAUAUGGGCGACGUAAUUCAGCUACAAGUUCCACAAUUGACGAAGACAAAUUAUGGAAAUUGGAGCAUUCGAAUGAAGGCUUUGCUCGGUUCGCAAGAUUGUUGGGAGAUCGUUGAAAAAGGAUACAUCGAGCCCGGAGAUGCCGCUACAGAAGCAGCUUUAUCAAAUGACGCUAAGAAGGCGUUACGAGAAGCACGAAAGAAGGAUCAAAAGGCCUUGAAUAGUAUCUUUCAAGGUAUGGAUGAAUCAACCUUCGAGAAAAUAUCAGAUGUGAAGAACGCGAAGAAUGCAUGGGAGAUUUUGCAAAAAUCAUUUCAAGGUGUAGAAAAAGCUAAAAAGGUACGCCUUCAGUCACUUAGAGCUGAAUUUGAAAUGUUAAAAAUGAAGAGCUCCGAGAAUAUCGAUGACUAUGCCAAUCGUGUAAAAUCGGUGGUAAAUGAAAUGAAACGAAAUGGAGAAACUCUUGACGAGGUAAGAAUGAUGGAGAAAAUUCUACGGUCACUCACACGCAAAUUCGAGUACGUAGUCGUUGCCAUCGAAGAAUCAAAAGAUUUGUCAAAGAUGUCGCUCGAAGAACUUGUGGGUUCUCUGCAAGCCCAUGAGCAAAAGAUGAAGCUAAAUGAAGAUAGUGAAAAUCUUGAUCAAGCCUUGCAUAGCAAGUUGUCCGUCGACGACGGAGAAACAAGUAAUAACUUUAACCAAGGAAGAGGAAACCGCAGAGGAUACCGUGGAGGCUACCGUGGUGGAAACAGAGGAGGAAGAGGAUCACGAGGACGUGGAAAUCAAUCAUAUGGGAGAUAUCAAGAAAAUAAAGAUUAUCAAACAUCCAACCGUGGACGUGGAUCUAGAGGUCGUGGCCGAGGCAGAUUUCAAGAAAAUAAAUCUCAGGUACAAUGCUACAACUGUAACAAGUAUGGACAUUUCAGUUACGAGUGCAGAUCAACACACAAAGUGGAUGAAAGAAACCAUGUAGCAGUCAUAGCAGAAGGCAACGAAAAAGUGGAAUCAAGUGUCUUUCUCACUUACGGAGAAAAUGAAGAUCGCAAGAGAAGUGUGUGGUAUCUCGACAACGGUGCAAGCAACCACAUGUGUGGAAGAAAGGAGCUGUUCACAGAAUUAGAUGAAACAGUUCAUGGACAAAUAACUUUUGGAGACAACUCACAUGCAGAAAUCAAAGGAAAGGGCAAGGUUGUUAUAACACAAAGGAAUGGAGAGAAGAAGUACAUCUCAGACGUUUACUACGUACCAGCUUUGAAGAGCAACCUGAUCAGUCUUGGUCAACUCCUAGAAAAAGGAUAUGAAGUUCAUAUGAAAGACCGCUCACUCGCCAUCAGGAACAAAAGUGGAGAAUUAGUUGUUCGAGUUGAUAUGACGCGAAAUCGUCUUUUCACCCUCGACAUCGAGUCUGGAGAAGUAAAAUGCAUGAAGACGGAUCUGAAGAAUGAAUCAUGGUUGUGGCACUUAAGGUACGGACAUCUCGGAUUUUCUGGCUUGAAGCUGUUGUCGAAGACAAAUAUGGUGAAUGGAUUACCAAGUAUUAAUCAUCCAGAUCAACUGUGUGAAGCCUGUGUCAAAGGAAAGUAGCAUAGGCAGAAAUUUGAAGUAGGAAAAUCUCGAAGAGCUAGAAGACCAUUGGAAAUUGUACACACCGACAUAUCUGGUCCGUACGACAUUGAAUCACUCGGUGGAAACAGGUACUACCUAACUUUUAUUGAUGAUUAUAGCAGAAAAUGUUGGGUUUAUUUUCUCAAAGCAAAAUCGGAAGCCCUAGAAAAAUUCAAGGAGUUCAAAGCAAUGGUGGAAAAACAGAGUGGUCGAUAUUUGAAGAUACUCAGAUCCGAUAGAGGAGGCGAGUAUACUGCAAAGCUUUAUGAAAGUUUCUGCAAAGAUCAUGGAAUCAUUCAUCAGUUAACAGCCAGACGCACUCCACAACAAAACGGAGUUGCAGAAAGGAAGAAUCGGACAAUUCUGGAUAUGGCAAGAAGCAUGAUAAAAGGUAAACACCUUCCGAGAAAUUUCUGGGCUGAAGCCGUUGAAUGCGCAGUUUAUCUGUUGAAUCAAUGUCCAACAAAAAGUGUAAGACACAAGACACCAGAAGAAGCAUGGAGCGAUCACAAGCCAAGAGUUGGACACCUCAAAAUUUUUGGAUGCAUUGCAUAUGCACACGUUCCUGAGCAACAGAGGAAAAAGCUUGACGAUAGAGGAGAGAAGUGUAUCUUUAUAGGCUAUGACAAAAGAAGUAAGGCCUACAGACUUUAUAAUCCUCUUACUAAGAAAUUGAUUAUCUCAAGAGAUGUCGAGUUCGAUGAAGCGGAUUACUGGAGAUGGAGUGAAGAAGAAAAGAAAGUGGAAGGAUUAUUUUUCAACGAAGACGACAAUGAUGUCAUCAACCAAGAAGAACAAGGCGAUGAUCAAAGUCCUGGUACAACAGCCCCUUCGUCACCAACCAGCAGCAGCGGAAGCAGCAGCUCAGAUGAAGCACCCACAAGAACACGGAGUCUCAACGACAUCUACAAUUCUACGGAACCUGUAGAGACGCAGUUCGAUUAUUCACUAUUCUGUCUAAUGACAGAAUGUGAUCCAGUGACAUACGAAGAAGCAAUUGAAGACAAUAAAUGGAAGAAGGCCAUGGACGAGGAGAUUGCUGCAAUAAGAAGGAAUGACACGUGGGAGCUAACAAGUCUGCCAGAAGGACAUAGCCCGAUUGGUGUCAAGUGGGUGUACAAGACGAAGACCAACAAAGAAGGAAAAGUAGAGAAAUACAAGGCAAGACUAGUCGCCAAAGGCUACAAGCAAAGACAAGGAGUGGACUAUGAUGAAAUAUUUGCUCCAGUCGCAAGAAUAGACACAAUUAGGCUUCUCAUAGCGGUCGCAGCACAAUACAAAUGGAAAAUCUAUCAGAUGGACGUCAAGUCUGCAUUCCUGAAUGGCUACUUGGAGGAGGAAGUCUACAUAGAACAACCACCUGGAUAUAGCAUACAAGGAAAGGAGGACAAAGUCUACCGAUUAAAGAAAGCUUUGUAUGGAUUGAAGCAAGCCCCAAGAGCAUGGAACACAAGGAUCGACGAGUACUUCCGAAGAAAUGGAUUCAUCAAAAGCCCGCACGAGCACACCCUGUACACAAAGAAGAAUGGAUAUGGAGAUAUCAUGAUCGUAUGCCUAUAUGUGGAUGACAUGAUCUUCACCGGAAACAAUCCAGGUAUGUCUGAUGAUUUCAAGAAAGCUAUGACUAAAGAAUUUGAAAUGACAGAUAUCGGUGAGAUGUCAUACUUUCUUGGAGUCGAGGUGAAACAAAUGCAAGAUGGAAUUUUUGUCUCUCAAAAGAAGUAUGCGGAGCAGAUUUUGAACAAGUUCAAAAUGAAGGAUUGCAAGCCAGUAGUCACGCCAGCUGAUCCAGGGAUGAAGCUAAGUGUUGAUUCGACAAGGGAGUCGAUAAAUCCGACGUUGUUUAAAAGUCUCGUUGGAAGUUUAAGGUAUUUGACAAUCACACGACCAGAUAUUACAUAUGCAGUAGGAUUGGUGAGCAGAUUCAUGGAGAAGCCGAAGCAAGACCACUUAAUUGCCGCAAAAAGAAUUUUGAGAUAUAUCAAAGGUACGAUGAACCAUGGUUUAUUCUAUACCCACUCACAAGAUUCAAAAUUAGUUGGCUACUCAGAUAGCGAUUAUGGGGGAGACUUGGAUGAUCGGAAAAGCACUUCCGGAUAUGCAUUCCACAUCAAUUCCGCAGUUUUUUCAUGGUCGUCAAAGAAGCAACAAACAAUUGCUCUCUCAACAUGUGAAGCAGAGUAUAUGGCCGCAGCAACUUGUACAUGCCAAGCAAUGUGGUUGAAGAAUAUUUUGGGAGAAAUAGGUGUUUCAAAUGAAGGUCCAAUUACCAUCUACGUUGACAACAAAUCCGCUAUAUCACUUGCCAAGAAUCCGGUGUCGCACAGCCGAAGCAAGCACAUCGAUACGAAGUAUCAUUUUAUCCGAGAGCAAGUGAAAAACAAAAACGUGGAGUUGGUCCAUUGCAGGACAGAAGAUCAACUGGCAGAUAUUUUCACAAAGCCGUUGAAAGUGGAGACAUUCAACAAAUUCAAAGAGAAGCUCGGUAUGAAAGUUGGGUUUGAGGGGGAGUGUUAGAAAUCAAACCCACUCCAAGCAUAAUCUAGAAGCAUGAGACGUGGAGCAAUUUUGUGCCAUGCAAAGUGCUGAAAUUUUAGCCAUACAAAGUGCUCCAUUAUUGAGAUGUUUUGUGGCUGGAAAUUAAGUGGAUUAAUAGCCACAUUUGUUGUCACUUUAUCAGCCUAUAAAUAGAGGCUUGAACUUGUGUUGUAAAAAAGAAGAAAAAUGAGAAGAAAAAAGAAAUAAGAGAAGCAACGUGAGUGAGAGUGAGAAGGUUAGCAAACCUUGAGUGAGUUAAAAUCUAGCAGCAGCUAGACUAUCUAGUCAUUGAGAAAAUAUUUGUAAUCUUCGUAUUGUAAUAUAUUGAGUGUGUAAUAAAAAGUAAAUUUUCGGCCCAUCACGUUUCCAACAUAGCAUCCCUUGGACCCAGUGUGGUAUAAUUCUAAUCUCAAAUAUUUACUAGCAACACAAUAAGAUACUGGUUUGUGGGAUCAAUUGGUCAAAGAUAUUGCAAUGAUAGCCAUCUUUUUAAGUCCAUUUCUUUCAGAAAACUGUUUUGUCACUCUUUUCUGCAAGAUCCGAAGAAAGAAAGAACUUGGAAAUCUAUAGUCCAAAAGUGUAAAUAUGCGGUUUCUCUAUAGGUAUCUUUAUUAUGGCAUCUGUAAAGUUUGUCUUUCAUAUGUUUGAGUAACGCUUCUUCUUCCAUAUGUAGGUUCGUUUACUUAUACUACCAAAUCUUGAAGCGUAUUUGCAGCUUUUUGAACCUGAAAUAAAAAGACACGAGGCCUGGUGUGUUUAUGGGGCACUGCUGGUAAGUUUAACAUCAAAUUUGGUACCAGUUUAUGAGCAUCGUUUCAUUUAUUUGCUGUAGAACUAACAACACUGCAUAAAAUUUCCACUAACAGCGUGCAGCUGGACUGUGCAUGUAUGAUCGGCUUAAAAUGUUACCCAGUUUGCUAGCACCCUCAACUCGUCCCGUCUGGAAAAGCAACACCAAAGUUGCGACAAGUAUGAUUUCUUCGAACCAUCAUAUUUACACUUAAUCCACAAAUCUCUUCUCCCCCUUUACGAUAUUCCUUUUUCUGAUCAAUCAAGAUAAACGAAAAGCAAGCACGGACACCUUGAUGCAGCAGCAACCAACUGCCAAGAAAAUAGCAACUGAGAGUGCAAUAGGUAUGAUGCCGAUAAAUUCCAUGCAAACUGAUUUACAAGGGGCAGUUAGCGGCUUUUCUACCACCGUAGGAGGUUCCAGUAUCUGUGUAUCAUCAAUGUCACGGCCGUUAUCAAACGAUAACAUGCUUGGAAGGGAGGUUGGGGGUCGAGUUUCAAAGACAUCAACCGUUCUAGCUCAGGCUUGGAACCGGGGAACUUGUUAGCAUCAUUAUUUGAACUUUUUGGUGAAAGUAUGUUAUCAUUUACUCCCAAACCUGAGCUUUCAUUCUUCCUUUGAUUAAAUUUCACCUCCAAAAGCUAUGGUUUUUGAAGGAAUUUGUGUAAUUAAUCCCCAUAGUUUUUUUCAGUCUUACUGUGUUUAUCUUUAUAAGUCUUCUUUCUUUUUUUUCCUUGCUCAUAAAUGUAUUGUAGUUAUCAAAAAAUAUAUUCUACUUUGGAUUUUAUUUAUAUUAAAUUUUACGUUAAAUUCUGCUAUUAGUCUCUGUACUUUACGAAAAUGAUGGAUUUAGUCCUUAUACCUUAAUUUGAUCAAUUUUAGUCAUUGUAUUUUUUGAAUUGGUCAAUUUUAAACUAUCUACCUUUUAAAUUUUGAAAUUUUAGUCUUGACCCAAAUAAUAAUAAUAAUAAUAAUUAAAUCUGCUUAUUUAAAUUCAAUUAUUAGUUUUGUAUUAUGUAGACAGAUAUAGAUUUAAUCCAUAUUUUUCAAUUGGGUCAUUCCAAGUCUUUAUACUUUUCAAAUUUUGAAAUUUCAAUAUUGAUGCAGAACGAGAGUUGUUAUUAAUUAAUUGAUUAUUUAGCAAGUAUAUGUAGAAAUAACAAGUUGGCAUGUCAUUAUACUUAAAAAAAUAUAUUGGCUUAACCCACCUAAAUUAUGUCUUUUUUUCCAUCUUCGGACCUCAAUUUUUUUAGGGUCAUAAGUGGUACCUAAACUACUUUUUUUCUCCUUCAAAUUAGUAUCUUCAUUAGUUAAACCGUUAAGUCUAUUUAAAAAAGAAAGACUCGAACAACAAAUUAAUACCUAAAACAAUGCUCUUUUUCCCAAUGUAUCUAAUUUUUAUUUUGGCCAUAAGUACUACUAAAACUAUUCUUCCGUUACUCGUUUUACACAAAAUGUUAUAUCGGCUAAAAAGAUUGCAACAAAUAAUAGAUUGUAUGUCAUAUAAACUUUUAAAAAUAAUUAUUAAUUAAUUAUUUUUUAUAUUUUUCUUUCUUAUUCCUUUAUAAUGUUUGACAAUGCCGAUAAUGUUUGAAAUUGGCCCACUUGAGGUCGAAACGCUGGUGAUUAAUUUUGGUUUUGAAUUUCACCACCUAUUUCUCUGACCUGAGGGGAUAAAAAAUGUUCUUUCAUUGAUCAAAACUAGUGUUUUCAAAAACAGACUGAUUCAACCGGAAAUAGGGGUUGAAUCAUUGACUUGCGAGCAAAAACAAAUCAGUUGAACUAAGCUAAAAAAAACUAGUUGAACUAGUUCUCUCUAUUUAUAUAUAUAAAAAUAAUAAUAGUCUUUUUUUUAUUACAUGUCAAUUUUUAUUUGGUUAUUUUUUUUUCAUAUAAACUGAACGGUUUGACUAAUGACGGAGGUACCAAAUUAUAGUCUAGGUACCAAUUUAUGGGUUAAGCCUAUUUCUAAAAUAGACUUUUGACUAAUGGCGGUAGUAACUUGGGAAAAAAAAGUAGUUUAUGUACCACUUGUGACCAAAAAUAAGUUUAGGUACCAACAUCGUAAAAUGAGUAUAAUUUAGAUACCGAUUUAUGAGUUAAGCCUAAUAUAUUUGUCGCAUCAUUUUUUAAAAAUAACAGAACUUAAUAAAUUUAACGAUUAUUGUUUGAUGAUGACUAAAAUUUUAAAAUUUGAAAAGUACAUGAACUAAAAAUGACCAAAUUAAAGUAUAAAGAUUAAGUCCACAACUUUUGCAAAGUACAAGGACUAAUAGCAGAAAUUAACCUAAAUUUCAUAUGGGUCAAUUACAAAAAUAAUCACUAAGCUAUUCCUUUGGUUCUAUUCUAGUCAUUCAACUAUAGAGGUGCUCAUGAGUUGGGCCAGGUCAGGCCUAAGGAUGAUAUUAACGUACUUUAUACUUGCUCAAGCUUGGCUCGGCCCGAAAUAUGAGCUUAAAUUUUCACCUAAACUCAUCCAUAUUUGCAAAAGACUAACGCAAGCUCAUUUUAGGCAUGCUUAUAUAAUUUUUAGUUUUUGUUUAAAUAUUUAUAUUAUAUUAUUUUAAUAUUUAAUAAUUUAAACAUUUUUUAUUUAUUGAAAAUUUUUAUAUAGUCAUCUAAUUAACAUUAUUUUAAUGUUUACAUUAUAGUAUUAUUAUAUAUUUAAUAUAAGUUUAUUUUUUAAUCUGUUCUAAAUUUUAUAAUAUAAAGUAUUAUACACUUAAAAAUGGGCCGGGCUGGGCUCGAGCUUUGAAUGUUCAAGCCUGAACCCAGCCCAAAUUUUAAACGGGCCUAUUUUUUUUUUACCCAAACCUAAUUUUUGGGCCUAAUAUUUUUAUCCAGACCCUCCCAAAUUUUUGGACCUUGCCAAGUAGCCCAACUCAUUAACAAGUUUACUCAACUAUUAAUUUUUUCGAUUUAGUUGUUAACCUUUUCGAAAGUAAAUAUUUUAGUCACUCUCCUGUUAGUUGUUGCUAAAUGAGUGACGGAAAGCUAAUGUGGGUUUUUUUUAUUAGUCUAAUAACAAAUUUAGCCCUAAAUGUUAACAAAACUUGUCAUUUUAGUUCAAAUUCUAAAAAUUUUAAUAAAUUUAACCCUUAAUAUUUUCAAAAAUUAGCAAUUUAGUUCUAAUUCUAAAAAUUUUAAUAUAUAUUUAAAAAAAUAUUUUUAAUCCUCUGUCUCACCCUUUGAUUUUUUUAGAUGAGCUAAAAUCAAAACAUAUCGUUAUAUCUUUUUGUUUUAAUGCUAAAAGAGAUAAAAAAAAUGAAAAGCUAAAAUGACUUUUCGUUUGUAAAGUUAAAAAAUGCUAAAUAAAUCAUUAUGUCUUUUUAGUUUUAAUUUUUUACUUGAUUAAAAGAGAAAUAAUUAACGAAUAAAAAAUAAUUAUUCCCAAAUAAAUUUAUCAAAAUUUAUAAUAAAUGAGAUUUUGAAUUUAUCAAAAUAUAUAUAAGUAUACACAUUUUUAUGAAAUAUAAGAUUUUGCUAAAAGAAAAAGCAUACAAAAGUAUACACCUUUUUAUGAAACACAAGAUUUUGCUAAAAGAAAAAUAUAUGGUAAAAGGAAGACUAAGUGGUGGUUAAAAAAUACAAAAAAUUUUGAAAAUCUAAUAUCCAUAACUUUUCAAUGUAAAAGAAAAACAGACUGUAACACCAAUGUUGUGGUUUUAUUUGUUGCCUAUAAAUGCCAUUCCUAUCCUUCAUCUUCCUCUACCAACAUAACAUGGCCUCCUAUCUCUUUCUCUGCCUAUUCCUCUUCUUUCCCCAUCUUUAUGCUUCUUUUUCUUCUUCAGGAUCUCACUCCUGCUCUUCACUAACCCAGUUCAAGAAUUCUUUUUCCAUCACUCAGACAGAGGGUGCUUCUUUGUCUUGCAAUGAGAUUGCUGGCCUUAAAUCUUAUCCCAAGACAAAUUCAUGGAAGGAGGGUACAGAUUGCUGCUCAUGGGAUGGGGUCACUUGUGACCACCUAAAUGCUCAUGGUAUUGCCCUUGACUUGAGCUGCAGUUGGCUAUAUGGCAACUUCCCUCCCAAUACCACUCUCUUCCUUCUUCCUCACCUUCAAAAACUCAACCUUGCCUUCAAUGAUUUUAAUCUUUCCAAAAUUCCAUCCGAGUUCGGUGGGUUUACAAGCCUAUUCUACCUCAACCUUUCUCAUACAGGGUUUGCAGGACAAGUCCCAUCCCAAGUCUCCCACCUGUCAAAAUUGGUUUCACUUGAUAUCUCCUCUUCGAUUUAUGACUAUGAGAAAUUUACAAUUGACAAACAUGCUCUGGAGGGACUUGUUCACAACCUAUCCGAGGUCAGACAUCUGUUUUUGGAUGGAAUGGACAUGUCUUCUGUUAAUGCUCAUGUCUUCAUGAAUCUAUCCUCUUCUCUAAGGUCUCUCAGUCUUGCUUAUUGUGAUUUGCAAGGAAAAUUCCCAAAAAACAUUUUUGAUUUGCCAAACCUCAAUCUCCUCAACUUGGGAAGCAACCCAAUCCUCAGUCUUGAUCCUUUGAAGUUGAAUCGGAGCAGCAAUCUUGAACAUUUGGAUCUGUCGUCCAUGUCCUUCUCUACAGAAUUCAUUGAUUCAGUUGAUAAUCUACAGGCCUUAAAGUACUUAGAUCUAUCAGGACAUUUUUUCUCUCAACGAUUGUCUGUCUCAAAAACAAAAUCGGGGUACUUGUUUACUGGAGACGCAAAUUUUUUUGGAGGAUUGCCUGACUCGAUGGGGAAUCUUGUGUCUUUGAAGUUUUUAGAUCUCUCCUAUUCCAACUUAUCAGGAACGGUUCCAAGAUCACUGGGGAAUCUCUUGCAACUCACUCAUUUAGACUUGUCGGGGAACCAAUUUAGUGGACAAAUUCCAUCGUCAAUUCUAAACCUAACGCAGUUGGAAUACUUGAAAAUAUCUGAAAAUUCAUUAGAAGGUUCCAUUCCAGAUGAGGUAACCGCUUUUCCUAAUUUAAUAUAUUUAUACUUAGAUAACAAUUUACUUAAUGGAAUACUUCCGUCAUGGUUGUAUACUGCUCCCCCCUUAAAGAGAAUAGAUCUCUCUAAAAAUCAAUUCAGUGGACAUAUCAAAGAAUUCCAAUCCAAAUCACUAGAAUUGAUAUGGUUAGAGAAUAAUAAACUCCAAGGUCCUCUUCCAUCUUCAAUAUUCCAACUUCUCAAUCUUACCGGACUCAAGUUAUCCUCAAAUAAUCUUAGUGGUGUCAUAGAGUUUAGCAUGUUCUCAAACCUUCCAAAUCUCGAAUAUCUUGACCUUUCAUAUAACAGCCUAUCCUUAACAUCUAAUACUACUUCUACUGUUAAUCUUACAAGCUUAUUUUUGUCAUCUUGCAAUCUUAGUGAAUUCCCCCAAUUUUUGAAAGGGCUUAAAAGUUUGGAAAGCUUAGACCUCUCUUGCAACAAAAUUGAAGGCAAGAUUCCACAGUGGAUGCAAGAGGUGGGGAAUGGCUCUUUGACUUACUUAAAUGUAUCUCACAACUCUUUGACAGAAGUUGAGCACUUUCCAUGGAAUAAUAUUGCAGUUCUUGACUUAAGCUCCAAUUUGAUCCGUGGAAAUCUUCCGAUUCCAGCUUCGACCAUAAGAGUCUUUUUGAUCUCAAAUAAUAGUUUCAAUGGAGAGGUCUCUUCUUUAAUAUGCAAUGCCACUUAUCUUCAAAUUCUUGAUUUGUCCCACAAUUACUUGAGUGGAUCAAUUCCGCAAUGUUUUGGAAAUUUGAGCUACUGGCUUGAAUUCUUGAAUCUGAAGAAGAAGUUUUAUGGGACGAUUCCUCCAGCAUUCGCAAAGGGAUGCCAAUUGAGUAAUUUCAACUUAAAUGGAAAUCUGUUAGAAGGGCCUUUGACACCAUCCAUCCUUAAUUGUAGAGGUCUGGAAGUGCUAGAUCUUGGUAACAACAAGAUCAAUGAUACAUUUCCUCAUUGGUUGGGCAGUCUUCCAUUUUUGCAAGUUCUUGUAUUGAAGGCUAUCAUAAAUCUAGAGAAGAUUGGGAGUACAAUGUCGUACAUGGGGGUGAAUUGUCCUGGAAGUGGCUUCUAUACCUAUUCCAUUGGAAUUGUUAUGAAAGGACAAGAUAUGGACUUGGUGAAAAUUUUCACCAUGUGGAUGAUCAUUGAUCUAUCAAACAAUCAGUUUGAAGGGGGUAUUCCAGAGGUUUUUGGGAAGCUUAACUUACUGAAAGGGCUCAACCUUUCUCAUAAUAACCUUAAUGGUGGUAUCCCCACCUCAAUAGGGAAUUUGACAAGUCUUGAAUGGUUGGACCUAUCUUCAAACAGGUUGUCUGGGACGAUUCCAAAUAGAUUGGCAGAUCUGCCAUUUCUUUCGUCCUUCAAUGUUUCUGAAAAUAAACUCCAUGGUCAGAUUCCUCAAGGCAAACAGUUAAACACAUUUGGAAAUGAUUCAUAUGAAGGAAACAAGGGAAAAUAAACUCCAUGGUCAGAUUCCUCAAGGCAAACAGUUCAACACAUUUGGAAAUGAUUCAUAUGAAGGAAACAAGGGAUUAUGUGGAUUUCCGGUCUCAAAAGGUUGCAACAUCAUUGAGCCACCACCUCCAAAUGUGCUUGAAAAAGAUGGCUCAAAAUCAAACAUUACUUUUGGUUGGAAAGUGGUGUUGAUAGGUUAUGGAUGCGGAGUGGUGUUCGGAAUGUCCGUGGGAUAUGUUGUUUUCCAAACUGGUAAGCCGAAAUGGUUGGUGAAUUUGUUGAAAUCCAACAUGAGAAGAAGCGAAGAAGAAAGUCAAAGGAUGGCAGUCGCAGAAAUGGACGAAGAAGGAUCUAGUUAGUGGAAAUGAUGUUCAAGUGUUGAUGUUGUAUCUUCAUAAUUUCUUGUUUUGAAGUCUUUCAAUUUUUUUCCUAUGGUGAAAGGUUGCAUUGGCAUGCAUCUGUCUUUGUUAUUGUGACAAUUCAUCUAUAUUUCAUUGCAUUACAUAGUAUUUGUAAGGGUUUGUUUUAAAUGUAACAUUUUGUAUGGUUCAACUAUUUAUGUCUUCUUUCAUGACUUUCAUUUUUGAGUCUCAAUAAUCUCUGCAUUCAAGAUUUUGUCAGCUUAUUAAUUGGUAAAAAUUAUAUGAAUAAACUUUUAUAAAUAUAAAUAUGAAUAAACUUUUAUAAAUAUAAAGUGUAAUUUAUGAGUCGAGUUAUUCAAUAAGAAAAAAAAACCCUCAUUUCAAUGUUCAAUAUAUAUGAAAUUCUACAAAAUUAAUUUCUUCUAAUAUUUUUACUUUUUGUGAUUAAGUUUAAAAUACUUUUCAAUUACUAAAUCUUAGUCCGAGCCAACCUAUUGGCUCGACUAACUAUUUAGAAAAUAUAAUAUGUUUAUAUUAAAAAUUUUAUAUUUAAAUAAAAAUUCAAGACGAGUUGUCUAGAAUUUGUGAAAAUGCUGUCCACGACCUAGCACAUAUUGGACAAUCCUAUUGAACUAGGUAGGUAGUGUGAGCUUGCCUUGAAAGUGCUAAUAAAUCCAAUUGAGUCAAGACUUAAGACUUCUUAUUCAACUUUAGACCCAAAUUGGGUAAUCAUAUUAGACGGAUAGUUUGAUACUUAAAUAUAUCUAAUCACAAUAUAUAUAAUUAAAUGAGCAAACAUAAAACCUUGGUUCUAAAACUCCAUGCUUCCUCUUUUGUUAACUUUAUGUUUAACUCUUCGGCCAACUUUUUCAAAUGUUGUAAGGUUCCCACUGUCAGUAUUAUACCAUUUUGAUCUCCACUAUUACAUUAUAAUCAUAUUAAAAAAAUAAAAAAAAUAGAAAAAAAUCAGUCAAAUGGCAUGAUAAUUUCUUUUCAAAAUUGUUCACUUUGAUUCUUCAUACAUAUUUAACUUAUUUCAAGAAAGUAUUGGAAAAAAUUAUGGCAUACAAAUAUAAUACUAACCUGAAUAUUGUAAUGGGAAUGGCUUGUUGAAGAAGGUUUUUAAGUGCAGGGAGCAUGUCAAGGUCCUUAUCAGCUUCGUUGUAUUUAAAAUUAGUUCUAAAAAAAUAAGAGUGAAAUAUAAUGAAAAUUUUAAGGCUAGCAAUUUUUACACGACAUUCACCUCAAUAAACAAGUAAUUUAUUUUAUUUUCUUAAGAAAUAGGUGACAAUAUAGAAAGAGAAAAAUUGACCGCGAGUUUUAAAACUUGAAUUUAAAAUAAUUUCUAAAAAGUAUUUAUAUGAAUAUAUUGGAAAAAAAGUUCAUCUUGUCUCAAAUUUUAGGGGAAAACUUACGUGAAAUAACCCUUCCAUCUAUAUGACAAGUUGGUUCGAAUCCCAUGGAAAGCUUUUUGAACUUCUGAAAGAAUAAAGUAAAAUUGCACUCUUAAUGGAAGACACAUGUCUACUUCUGUGCUAACUAUAAGAACCAAUACUAAAAAAUAAAGUUUUACGCUUUUGAUAUAACCAAUAAAAGAAAAAUAACACAAAAUCAAUUUUACUCAAUUGAUCAGUUAAUUCAAUUCUAUAGGAACUUAUGUUAUAUGUAGUUUCGAGUUGAAGUAAAAUAAGAGGAAUGUAAAGAACUAAAUGAAAACAUGUUUUCCCAAGUCCAAAUCUAGCUCAUUUUCAGCAUUAGGAGGGCGAAAGACAACAAAUAGCUUUUGUCAGGAGUAAUUAUGAGCAUUGGUCUUGAAAGUAGCCAAACCGGCCUCGAACUCAAGGUUUUUGCAUUUUGCGCUUCAAGUGGUUGCAGCAUCAAUGAGACACGACCUCCAAAUGUGCUGGAAAAGGAUGGCUCAAAAGCAAACAUUGCUUUUGGUUGGAAAGUGGUGUUGGUAGGUUAUGGAUGCCGGGUAGUGUUUGGAAUGGCCAUGGGAUGUGUUGUUUUCCAAACUGGUAAGGCAAAAAGGUUCGUGAAUUUGGUUGAAGACCAACAUGAGAAGAGGCGAAGAAGAAAGCCAAAAUAUAGCAAUAUCGCAUCAAUGGAUGAAGAAGGAUCUAGUUGGUUCAAAUGAAGUUAAAGCAUUUGUGCUGUGUCUGCAUAAUUUCUUGUUUAGUAGUCUGUCAGAAAGUUUUUCCUAUGGUGAAAAGUUGCAUUGGUAUGUGUCUGUUUUUAUGAUUGUACCAAUUCCUCUGUAUUUCAUUGCAUUUCGUACUAUUUGUAAGGAUUUAGUUCUAGUGUAACAUCUUGUAUGGUGCAACUAUGUAUGUCUUCUUUCUUGAAUUUCAAUUUUUAGUAAACAUUAUACUGCUCAACAUAAAAAAAAUACAUGUAGAAUUACAAAAGAUUCAAUUAUUCAAGUUCGAGUUGCAUUUAUAAACACGUGACGAUGAGAAUUCAUGAUGUGUUAUAAGCAAGAAGACUUUGUAAUCUCAUGAAUGUUAAUUAUUUUACUUCUUUGGUAAAAAAAAGUAAUCAAUCUUAUGAAUGAAAAAUAUAGGGUAAAGAGGAAGUAGUUGUUAACCUUUUCGAUUUAGUUGUUAACCUUUUCGAAAGUAAAUAUUUUAGUCACUCUCUUGUUAGUUGUUGUUAAAUGAGUGACCAAAAGCUGAUGUGGGCUUUUUUUAUUAGUCUAAUAACAAAUUUAGGCCUCCAAUGUUUACACAUUCUAUCAAUUUGAUCCUAGAUAUAAAAAAAAUCAACAAAUUUAGCCCUGAAUGUUAACAAAACUUGUGAUUUUAGUUCAAAUUCUAAAAAAUUUAAUAAAUUUAACCCUUAAUAUUUUCAAAAAUUAGCAAUUUAGUUCUAAUUCUAAAAAUUUUAAUAUAUAUAUAUUUUAAAAAAUAUUUUUAAUCCUCUGUCUCACCCUUUGAUUUUUUAGAUGAGCAAAAAUCAAAAUAUAUCAUUAUGUCUUUUUGUUUUAAAGCUAAAAGAGAUAAAAAAAAUGAAAAGCUAAAAUGACUUUUCGUUUGUAAAGUUAAAAAAUGCUAAAUAAAUCAUUAUGUCUUUUUAAUUUUAAUUUUUUACUUGAUUAAAAGAGAAAUAAUUAACGAAAGAAAAAUAAUUAUUCCCAAAUAAAUUUAUCAGGUUUUAGAUUUAAAUUAUGAGGCUAUAUAUAUAUAUAAGUAUACACAUUUUUAUGAAAUACAAGAUUUUGCUAAAAGAAAAAGCAUCCAAUUUUAAGAAUGAAAAAUAUAAAUCCUUUCAUUUUGAAUUGCAACUUUAUCCUGCCUAAAUUCCUCAACCAUGAACCACCCAUCAGGGCAGCCUCAAAAUGAACUUCCUUGGUCCGCCGGAUUCUGCGAUUGUUGCUCUGACCUGAAAACUUGUAACCCUUUCUUCUUUCUUCAAAAUCAGUUGUGUCAUUUUAAAUAUAUGAAUUAGUUUAUCAAUUAAAUAUAUGGACAUUUCAGGUUGCAUUUCAUACUGUUGCCCAUGCAUCACCUUUGGCCAGAUUGCUGAGAUUGUUGAUAAAGGGUCGACUUGUAAGUUAUUAAUUUCUAAAUUGAAAUCUUAUCAUCUUAGGUUUGCAGACAUAUAUAUAUUUAAAGAGAUAUUAUGUAAUUAAUAAUAAUGUUGAAAAACACUGUUGGAUGGUGCAGCAUGUGGGGCAAGUGGGGCAGUAUACACAUUAAUAAUGUUCAUCACCGGGUGUGGGUGCUUAUAUUCUUGCUGCUACCGAUCCAAACUGAGAAAGCAGUAUAACUUGAAAGGAGGCCAUUGUGGCGAUUGCAUGCGUCAUUUCUGCUGCGAGCCUUGUGCUUUGACACAAGAGUAUCGUGAGCUCCAGAACCGUGGAUUCGACAUGUCUAUCGGUAUGUCUACAUACCAAUAUUAUACCCCUUUUAAUUAUUCUUAAUAUAACUUCAAGUAUAUUAAUUGAGUAGCUGUAAACAAAUAUCUCCGAAUAAAUAUGUUAGUAAUGAUGAGAUAAAUUAUUGUUUGAGGUCAUUAAUUUUGUGGGGGUAUAUUUAUAUAUGCAGGUUGGCAUGCAAAUGUGGGAAGAACCCAGGGCUGGCAAUGGCUCCAGCGGUAGAAAAAGGCAUGAGCAAAUAGAUGAUGAUGAUGAUCGCUGCAUUAAUAUCGUCUUUAUAUGUAACACUUAAUUCCUUUGCUUUCCAUAAUUGGUGCCAAUUGGAUUUCAAGUUAUGUAUGUUUGUGAUUGUCAAAAUGUGACUCUGUUAAAUAGUAAAUAGCAUUUUUUAAAAGGGUUCAUAUAUAUCGUGAUACCUAAAGUUGGCAACUUCUACUUUGUAUCAAAAUCGGUACAUAAACUUGAAAAUUGUAAGUCAACUUGGUAUCGGUACAUAAACUUGAAAAUUGUAAGUCAACUUGGUAUUUUUAUAAGUAUGAUGAUGUUGGUGUAGUGUGAGGAAGAAGACUUGAAUGGGUUUGAUUAUUUUUAAUAAUACAGGAAUUUACGUAUUAUAAGUAAAUAGACACUCACAUUCUUUACGUAUUAUAAGGAAGAAGACUAAGUCAAUCUACUUUGUAAUCUCAUCAAUCUUAAUUUUCUCAAUUGUUCAGGGAGUUCAAAUGAAAUACAAAAUUUUGGUAAAAAAAUGUAUCCAAUUUUGUGAAUGAAAAAUAUAUGGUAAAAAAGAUUUGGUAUCAAUACUUCGGCGCGGGUAUCAAUACUCGAUACAUUGCUUUUGGUUGGAAAGUAGUGUUUGGAAUGGCCAUGGGAUGUGUUGUUUUCCAAACCGGUAAGGCGAAAAGGUUUGUGAAUUUGGUUGAAGACCAACAUGAGAAGAGGCGAAGAAGAAAACCAAAAUAUAGCAAUCGCAUCAAUGGAUGAAGAAGGAUCUAGUUGGUGCAAAUGAAGUUAAAGCCUUUCUGCUGUGUCUUCAUAAUUUCUUGUUUAGUAGUCUGUCAGAAAGUUUUUCCUAUGGUGAAAAGUUGCAUUGGUAUGUGUCUGUCUUUAUGAUUGUACCAAUUCCUCUGUAUUUCAUUGCAUUUUGUACUAUUUGUAAGGGUUUAGUUCGAGUGUAACAUCUUGUAUGGUGCAACUAUGUAUGUCUUCUUUCUUGAAUUUCAAUUUUUAGUAAACAUUAUACUGCUCACCAUAAAAAAAGAUACAUGAAGAAUUACAAAAUAUUCAAUUAUUCAAGUUCGAGUUGCAUUUAUAAACACGUGAUGAUGAUGAGAAUUCAUGAACAUAAGGUAUGGUUUGAGCCCUUUUGCCAUAUGCAUUUAUGUUGCAGGCGUUCAAACAUGGAAUAAUUCAACCUGCCUUUGUGUAUUCUUAAUUUUGUGCCAAACCUAUAUAUCUAUCGACAAAUUUAAGAAAAAUAUUUACAAUAGCAUUGCAGAGUAACAUAUUUAAGAUUGGAUUACACUGUCAAAAGAUUGCAGCAACGAUGAGAUUAAUCCAAUUACAGGAAUUGAUAUCCUAAAUGGCUUUUAGGUACGUAGCUUCAUUGACGGUACAAACGAGUUAAAAAUUCCAGCAUUCAUGUCUUUGUUUUCCCUCAAGUAAACGUAGUCAAUACUGCAAAUGGUGUGGAAGUAUUGUACAUUGUGGCCCAAAUGUCCAAAAUUUCCACAUUGCUUGUAAGUUAAGUUUGGAUGAGAGAGAUAGGAGGAAGCAACAGCAAGUGUGAAGUCAAUAGACAAUUGAUAGUCUUAGUGUUUGUCUUUUUUUGUCGAGUUAAAGUGUAGUCAAUAGACAAUUGAUAGUCUUAGCCCUUUUUGUGGAGUUAAAUUUAUAGUCAAUAGACAAUUCGAGUGGAACAUCUUGUAUGGUGCAACUAUGUAUGUCUUCUUUCUUGAAUUUCAAUUUUAGUAAACAUUAUACUGCUCACCAUAAAAAAAAUACAUGUAGAAUUACAAAAGAUUCAAUUAUUCAAGCUGUUUGAGUUGCAUUUAUAAACACGUGACGAUGAGAAUUCAUGAACAUAAGGUAUGGUUUGAGCCCUUUUGCCAUAUGCAUUUAUGUUGCAGAUGUUCAAACAUGGAAUAAUUCAACCUGCCAUAAGCAAGUGUGAAGUCAAUAGACAAUUGAUAGUCUUAGUCUUUGUCUUUUUUUGUCUGAGUUAAAGUGUAGUCAAUAGACAAUUGAUAGUCUUAGCCCUUUUUGUGGAGUUAAAUUUAUAGUCAAUAGACAAUUGGGACCAAACUUGACCUGUUAUAAGGAAGAAGACUUUGUAAUCUCACCAAUGUUAAUUAUUUUACUUCUUUGGUAAAAAAAAGUAAUUAAUUUUAUGAAUGAAAAAUAUACGGUAAAGAGGAAGUAGUUGUUGAUCACUAAUAACAUGAUGAUUGUGGAAAUACAAAAAAUCCCAUAUAUGUGUUGAAUUCUGCAUAAUGUAAAUGUCCCGCAUUGCAUGUGAAUUCUGCAAUAGACCAAACUUUAUGUGUUAUAGUCCUUUAAACUGAGUUAAUGAAAAGUAACCAUUCUUAUCAAAAUUAGUUAUACUCUUAAUUUAUAACAAAGAAAGGAGUAAUUUGAGUUUAACUCAAAGGUUAAUAUGUCAUCAAUGGGCGAUGGCGUGGUGCUACCAUGUCAGCCAUUAUUUUCUUCUUUGAGUUAAGGUGAUUUCACCAAUUUAAGUUUACUUUUUUACUUCAAUUUAGGUUUAUGCUUAUUACCUUCGAAGAUUCUAAGUGGGUGCCACAACCAAAGGGUGAGUAAAAAGGGUUAAAAAUAAUUUUUUUAAAAAUAUUUUUAUUUUUAUUAAAAAUUUAGAAUUAGAAUUAGAUAAAUUUUGUAAAUGUUAAGGGCUAACUUUAUUAAUUUUUUUUUCAUAAUUCGAACUAAAAUGACAAAUUUUGUAAAAAGCGCUAAAUUAGUUGAAUUUUUUAUAUUUAGGAUUAAAUUGAUAGAAUGUGUAAAUAUUAGAGGUUAAAAUUGUUAUUAGAUCAAUAAAAAACCCAUAUCAGCUUUCCGUCACUCAUCUAUCUACAACUAAAGGGAGAGCGAUUAAAAAAUUAGAAUGUUUGGAUCAUUUUUCUAAUUAAAGUCAUAGUGUAGGAGGCAAUUAAAUGCAUGCGCCACUCACGGUGGACGGUUUUGACAGCUGAUGACGUUGACAGUGCUCUUAAUCUGAGAAACGUGGAGGUACAUUUUCAAGUUUCAAAAAUUUUCUGUUUAUUGUAUUUUUUUAUUAUUCUUUUUCCUUUUUAGUUGAAAAUAGUGCUAAUUAAUGUUAUUUGUUUGACUAAUGUGAUAAUUUCUACUUCAUGUGUAUUAAUCCAUAAAUUUUAACAAGAGUGGAAUUUUGAGAACUUAGUUUUGGAAGUUUGAAUCUUAAGUUUAACCUGCUGCUUUAGAUUUUGCAUUUUGGUUAACUGGCUUGUGUUAUGUGUUUCUCUGGCAUCAGCCGAUAUGUGGAUUUGCCCCUCGUGAUGCACUACGAUUCAAGAAAGCUGCUGGGCAUAAGGAUUUGUUCUACAUUGAUGACAAAGAUGUGGAGUUUAAAGAAGUAGGAACUUAUCAACAAUAUUCGAGAUUCUGUUAUAUGUUGCCUUAUGUAUGUAGGUUCUUGAGUCACCUUUGCCAAGAGCACCACGUGAAUUUAUAUAAGUAUACACAUUUUUAUGAAAUACAAGAUCUUGCUAAAAGAAAAAGCAUAUAAAAGUAUAAACGUUUUUAUGAAAUACAAGAUUUUGCUAAAAGAAAAAGCAUCCAAUUUUAAGAAUGAAAAAUAUAUGGUAAAAGCAUCCAUAACUUUUCAAUGUAAAAGACAAAAAAGACUGUAACACCAAUGUUGUGGUAUUAUUUGUUGCCUAUAAAUACCAUUCCUAUCCUUCUUCUUCCUCUACAAACAUAACAUGGCCCCCUAUCUCUUUCUCUGCCUAUUCCUCUUCUUUCCCCAUCUUUAUGCUUCUUUUUCUUCUUCAGGAUCUCACUCCUGCUCUUCACUAAUCCAAUUUAAGGACUCUUUUUCCAUCACAGAGGAUGCUUCCUGGUAUUGCGAUGAGAUUGCUGGCCUUAAAUCUCAUCCCAAGACAGAUUCAUGGAAGGAGGGUACAGAUUGCUGCUCAUGGGAUGGGGUCACUUGUGACCACCUAAAUGCUCAUGUUAUUGCCCUUGACUUGAGCUGCAGUUGGCUAUCUGGCAACUUCCCUUCCAAUACCACUCUCUUCCUUCUUCCUCACCUUCAAAAACUCAACCUUGCCUACAAUCAUUUCAAUCAUUCCAAAAUUCCAUCCGAGUUCGGUCGGGUUUACAAGCCUAUUCUACCUCAACCUUUCUAAUACAUGGUUUGCAGGAGAAGUCCCAUCCCAAGUCUCGCACCUGUCAAAAUUGGUUUCACUUGAUCUCUCCUCUGAGUUUGGUGAACAAACAAUUGACAAACAUGCUCUGGAGGGACUUGUUCACAACCUAACCGAGGUCAGACAUCUGUUUUUGGAUGGAAUGGACAUGUCUUCUGUUAAUGCUCAUGUCUUCAUGAAUCUAUCCUCUUCUCUAAGGUCUCUCAGUCUUGCUUAUUGUGAUUUGCAAGGAAAAUUCCCAAAAAACAUUUUUGAUUUGCCAAACCUCAAUCUCCUCAACUUGAGAGGCAACCAAAACCUCAAUCUUGAUCCUUUGAAGUUCAAUCGGAGCAGCAAUCUUGAACAUUUGGAUCUGUCGUGGAUGUCCUCCUCUACAGAAUCCAUUGAUUCAGUUGAUAAUCUACAGGCCUUAAAGUACUUAGCUCUAUCAGGAAAUUCUUUCUUUCAACGAUUGUCUGUCUCAAUCACAAAAUUAUCUUAUUUGGAGUACUUGACACUUGAAGGCGCAAAUUUUUUUGGAGGAUUGCCUGACUCGAUGGGGAAUCUCGUGUCCUUGAAGUGUUUAGACUUGAGAUCAAACAAAUUGAGUGGACAAAUUCCAUUGUCAAUUCUAAACCUAACGCAGUUGGAAUACUUGGAUAUAUCUGAAAAUUCAUUAGAAGGUUCCAUUCCAGAUGAGGUAACCGCUUUUCCUAAUCUAAAACAUUUAGACUUAUCUGACAAUUUACUCAAUGGAACACUUCCGUCAUGGUUGUGUACUGUUCCCUCCUUAAAGAUAAUAUUUCUCUUUCAAAAUCAAUUCAGUGGGCAUAUCAAAGAAUUCCAAUCCAAAUCACUAGAAUUGAUAGUGUUACAGAAUAAUAAACUCCAAGGUCCUCUUCCAUCUUCAAUAUUCCAACUUCUCAAUCUUACAUCGCUUGCUUUAUCCUCAAAUAAUCUUAGUGGUGUCAUAGAGUUUAGCAUGUUCUCAAACCUUCCAAAUCUCGAAUAUCUUGACCUUUCAUAUAACAGCCUAUCCUUAACAUCUAAUACUACUUCUACUGUUAAUCAUAUAUUGCCUAAUCUUACAGACGUACUUUUGUCAUCUUGCAAUCUUAGUGAAUUCCCCCAAUUUUUGAAAGGGCUUAAAAGUUUGGAAAGGUUAGACCUCUCUUGCAACAAAAUUGAAGGCAAGAUUCCACAGUGGAUGCAAGAGGUGGGGAAUGUCUCUUUGACUUACUUCAACGUAUCUCACAACUCUUUGACAGAAGUUGAGCACUUUCCAUGGAAGAAUAUUGCAUUUCUUGACUUAAGCUCCAAUUUGGUCAGUGGAAAUCUUCCGAUUCCAGCUUC
rnacentral:lncRNA from 1 species